rnacentral:lncRNA from 1 species
UUUUUCAAAAAGGUAAAAAUUAGGGACCAUAUGAUGUUAGAUUAAUAGAAAAGUCAAAACAAAAUAGGGAUAAGCCUCACACCUUAAAGUAAGGAUCCCAUCUGUUGUCCCCUGCAAUUUUGCUUGGAGUGUCCAAAGACGGGGGCCUAAUUAGUUCCCCUCGCAGCUCUCCAAUAGCACGGAGUACUUUGUUGAAAUAGCGGCUAACUGUUUCCCCCGAUCUAUCAAAAUUAGUUCCAACUAACUUAUUCCUAAGGUUAUGUCCCACUGUAUUUAGAAACAUACCCACCUGCUGCUCAACACACAAGUUACAUGUAUCUUGAAGCAAACCACGCUCUCUAAAAAGAUUGCAAAAUUGAAAAAACUUGCCUCUAUUCAGUCUUCACAUGUUCAAGCAAGUUGUGUCAUCCUUUCAAAUUUUGUUAUUUAGAUAAUCUACUCUCAUCAUAUCCCUUGCCGCCAUAGGCCCAUAGGUAAUACCAACCCUUCUUGUACAUCGUUUACGUUUUCUAGAUUGAAUAAUCACCGCCAUCAUUGACAACAACAUGUAUGCAGCAGUAGCACAAGUUACAAUCUUGGUCCUCUUAUCCAUCUACAAUACAAGAAUAAAAUAAACACUUGUUCUUAGAGCCAAUUGAACCAGGAUGUCAUGCUACUGGACUAUUUAUUCAAUUCAAUCCAUAAUACUAUCAACCAGUAGCAUCCAAAGCCAAUACAAUAAAUAUAAACCAACAUAAACAUGGUGGUGUACGGUUUCAACCUUGGAGAGCAGGGGACGCGACGCCGGCGGAUGGUACGGGCGGUGGCGCUUGGCAGGUCCGGCGCUUGGCAGGGGCGGCGGAACUUGACAGGGGUGGCGGAGGUUAGGGGCGCGGCGGAGUCGGUCAGGGGCGGCGUCAGUCAGGGGCUGCCGCCCACCACGGAGGUCAGGGGAGCGGCGCCGGUCAGGGGCCGCCGCCCGCCACGGAGGCCAGGGGAGCGGCGCCGGUUAGGGGCAGGGGCGCAUCUGAGGGGCGGCGGAGGGGAUUAGGGGCGCUGCGGUGGAGGCUUGGGGCGGCGGCGGAAGGGGUCGGGGGCACGGCGGCGGAUGUCAGGGGAGCGGCGGCGGUUAGAGGCGGGGGCGGAUCUGAGAGGCGGCGGAGGGGAUCAGGGCGUGGCGGCAGAACUCAGGGGCGGCGGCGGCGGAGGACGUCAGGGGUGCGGCGGUGGUCAAGGGCGGGGGUGGAUCUGAGGGGCGGCGGAGGUCAGGGGCGGCGGAGGGCAGCCCAUCCUCGAUUUUCAGGGGCGGCGGCAACGAGAUCCAUCGGGAGAAGGUGCAGCCGGGGGAAAGGGGCGGUGGAUGGGGCUGCGGCGGCGGAUGCUAGGGGUGGCGGUGAUGGUAGGGGAGGCGGCGGAUGGGGGCGCCGGCGGAGGAGGUCAGGGGCGGCGGGGUUGGAGCCGGCGCUGCUCUGGCGUCGGGGUCGGGGGUGAGAGGAGGCGCGGUGAGAGGAGACGUGCGAGGAGAACUGGGUCGAAACGAUCCGUCCAUUUUGGAGGAAUCCCUUGGACCCGGAUCUAAUGGGAAUAUUCCUAUGUGGGUUAGACCCAACCCAGUUCUCUUUUGAACCAAACGUGGAACGAAGGGGGUCCGACCCGUUCUGACCCGUUCCGACCCAGUAACCAAACACACGUAGAGUUACAAGAUGAUCUUUCUGUUCUACGUAAACACAUGCACCCUUUAAAUCAUUGUUGGAUGUGAUCUAAGUGAGAUAAUGAAUAGUGAUAUUCCACUUGAAAGCUCCCAUUUGUCAUGUAAAUUGCACUGAACAUAUCUUCAAUGUGCCAUUCUCCAAAGAGCAUUAGAGAGACUAAUUAAUGAUGCGUAAAUCAACUCCCAUUGUUCUUGCAUGUCUUCAAUCUCUCUUCUCCCCUCUUCUCUUUUCCUAUUAGAAUCAAAAGAGGGGGGGUGAGGGGGAACAAGGGAGAUGAAAUGAGCUUAUGCUCCAUUCUUUUAUUUCCAAAGAAUUUAUCUUGGUUUUUAAUUGAGUUCAGAAUAACUUACUAUUUGAUUAACGCCAUAUCCAGUUCUUACGAUUUGUCCCGCAUACAGUUCACACUAUAUAUAUCUGUUUUUCAUAUUCCCAUCACAAACUUGCUUCCUUUGUCCACUUAUAUAAGCACUGCCUGACUUUCAGGGAAGAUGCAGAAACCACUGCCUGAAUUUCUCAAGGAACAUGACCUCCCAAUGGGCCUGUUCCCCCAGGAUGCGACCAACUACGAGCUGGCUGAAGACACAAAGCUGCUCACCGUGUACAUUACAUCUCCCUGCGAGGUGGGCUUCAAGGACUCGUCAGUCCUGAGGUUCUCCACCAACGUGACGGGUUACCUGGAGAAGGGAAAGCUGACCCACGUCGAGGGCCUCAAGACCAAGAUCCUGAUCUGGACCAAGGUGACGGAGGUCAGGGCCGAGGCCACCAAGGUGCACUUUGCCGCCGGCAUGAACAAGACCCGAAAUCGGGAUGCUUACGAGGUUGUCAGGGAUGGUGUCGUCGUAGACAAGUUCUAGAUCAUGCAUAGGUAACGAGAUGGAUACGUGCAACGUCUUGAAGGUGUCCUGAAAAAUUGUGAACCACUGCUACCCUGAGGCUGUACCAAAACCUGUUCUGCUCAUCGAUCAUUUGGGACAAAACUACCGUCCCUUUUUUGCUGGGGCUGAUCAUUUUGCUAUGCCUGUUCUGUAUCACCAAAAGAGGAUGUGUACACCAUGCAGAGAUUAUUGGGGUGACAGGGCGUGACAAUUGCUUCAUUGUAAUUCCUUUUGUAAUUAGAUCAAUGUAUGUAUGAGAAGUCUGGCAAGCCCUAAUAGGCAUUCAAACCUUCCCUUCUCCGUUCUAGUACCUCAUACAGUAAGUUCAUAUUGCGGAACGACGAUGCUGGCGGUGACAAUGAUCUGACCCACUGGUGUUUGUUUUAGAUGUUUUUUCAUUUUUUCUCUUUGAUUUUUCUAGUUAUGACCUUCCAGAGACAUAAGCUUGUAUUUUUCUACUAUAUCAAUAGAAACGCACACAUUAGGUGCAGUUCAUUCAAAAAAAAAAAUAUUGCGGCAAGAUAUGUUGACAUUGCAUCUUGAAAGAAAUAUGAAAGGGGAUUUCUACAAUAUGAUUAGGCUCACGGGUGGUAAAUGCAAUUAUUUUUCUUAUAGGGGUAUGCUCAAGGUGUCUUCUAAAUUAUAAUGAUAAUAAGUGGGCUAUAUGCGUGAGAAUAAACUGUUCUUAAUUGCUAGCGCCUGCAAUUGUUAUAAGAAUCUACUCCAACACUACGGCAACUAUUUGCAUUUGUAUAACAAAACGGCAGGUGCUGAUGAGAUCGUAUUGAGUACGUUCUCUUGCCACCAACAGUAUAUUUAACGCAAUGAAAUCGUUACACGGUGGAAAAAUACUUAGCAGCGACGUGUGCCGGAGUCGUCGGAAUUCGCCUCCGCCACCGGAGAACUGAUCUGAAUCCCAUGGAAGCCAUGGGCGACGACUCAAGUCCUGCGCGUGACUGGUCCGAUCUCCCUCCGGACCUCCUCAUCAGUGUCCUCCUGGAGAUCCGUGACCUCUUCUCCUCCGCCGCCGUCUCCCUCGCCUGGCGCGCCGGCAAAGUCUGGAGAAGUCUGCCAAGCCCUAAUAUGCAUUCAAACCUUCUAGUAGCUCAUACGGAACAUUCAAGUUCAUAUUGCGGCAAGAUAUUGCAUCAUGAAAAAAAUGUAAAAUGGAAUCUUACGAUAUGAUUAGGCUUCUGGGGUGGUAAAUGCAGUUAUUUUUUCCAACAGGAGUAUGCUUAAGGUGUGUCUGUUGUAGAGGUCCAUCUGAUUAUGAUUCUCUAUUGGAGUUGAUUCUUUGAGAGAAGUGAUUUUCUUUGAUUCUUUAGCAUAAAUUUUAAGGAUGGAAAAUCAUUUUACAAAUUUUCAACUCCCAGCCUCUUAGAUCAUUUCAGAUAAUCACUUCAUAAAAUCAGUAGAGAACUCUCUAAAAAAAUUGUUUGGCAGACCUCCUGCUGAAUUUAGUAGAGAAUCAGCUCUGAAAACUCUACCAAACACAUUGCAAUCUUGCCAAAAUUAUAAUAAUAAUAAUAAAGUGGGCUAUAUAUGUGAUAAUAAAGUGUUCUUAAUUGCUAUUAGUGCCUGCAAUGUUAUAAGAAUCUACGUCAGCUAUUUGCAUUUGUUUACAACAUGGCAGGCGCUGAUGAGGUCGUAUUGACUUCAUCUCUUGCCACCAACAGUAUAUUUAAAGUAAUAAAAUCGUUACACGGUGGAAACUGGAAAUGAAAAAAAAUAUAUACUGAGCAGCGACGCGUGCCGGAGUCGUCGGAAUUCGCCUCCGCUGCUGGAGAACUGAUCUAAAUCCGGCCGGAAGCCAUGGGCGACGACUCAAGCCCUGCGAGCGACUGGUCCGAUCUCCCUCCGAACCUCCUCGUCAGCAUCCUCAGCCUCCUAGAGAUCCGCGACCUCUUCUCCUCCGCCGUCAUCUCCCUCGCCUGGCGUGCCAGCUGCGCCACCAUCCGCGAGCUCGGGAGGUGGCCCGACCAGGGCCCCUACCUUGUCCACUCCUCUGCUAACCGCGACGCCGGCGAGGCCAACCUGCACAACAUCUCCACCGGCAGGUCCUUCCGCACCGCGCUCCCGGACCCUCCGUUCCGCAGCCGCUACAUUGUCGGCUCCUCCCAUGGCUGGCUCAUCACCGCCAACGUGCAGUCCGACCUGCACCUCCCAUCGAGCGCUAGUUCUCGUUGGUAAGGGCCAUAUUUCUCCAAUGCCCAACCGAAAUUAAUUUUUCGAGACAAAAGGGUCCCCCGGGACUAAAGACCCCCUUUAGUUCCGGUUGGUAAAAAAAUUUCAAAAAAAAUAAAAAACAAAGCCCCCAUGCCUGCCCGCUCGCACGCCUCCAUCCACGCCCGUGCCGGCCUCCGCCUUCACCCACGCGCGCCUGCGCCCACCCGCCUCCGCUUCGCCAGCGUCGCUCCACUCCGCUCCACACCACCGGCCCGCCUGCCCUCACCCCACUGCCGCUCCUCACUGCCAGUGAGGGGCAAGCAGAGGGGAAAGGGAGGGGCAACAGGGGGAUGGGACGGCGACAGAGCAGAGAGGGGGAGGAGAGGAGAGGGAGGAGGGGAUGAGGCCUGCGGAGAGAAGAGGAGAGGGAGGGUGAGAAGACAAGUGUGUGGAGAGCGCUGCCUGUGGGAGGGAGAUAAGGUGGAGAGGGCUACCUUGAGGGCCGCCUGCCCCUCCUUUUGUCUUAGUUGGAAAUUCGAAUCGGGACAAAAGCUCUCCUUUUGUCCCGGUUGGUAAUUCCAACCAAGACUAAAUCUUUUGUCCCGGUUGUAAUUACCAACCGGGAUAAAAGGGGUUUUUGUCCCAGUUGGAAUUUCCAACCGAGAUAAAAGGAGGGGCGUCACUACCAGAUCUUUACAACCAGGACUAAAUCCCCUCCCGUCGGUGUCCUUUCAGUGCCUCAUUUUUUAUCCAGGACUAAAGGUAGUCCCGGGUCCAAAAUCAACUGGGAUAAAAAAAGGUUGGAUGGAAGGUUAGUUCUCUAUUAGUGUCCUCAACCCCGUCACUGGCGCCCAGAUCACUCUUCCCCCGCCGGAGUCUGUGGUCGGUGUUAGGGCUUCUUUCAACCGACACGGGGUGCUUCGUGGCCACUACAUCCACGAUCUUGACGUUGAGGAUCGGCUCAUCGUUGAUGAGAGGGAGCCAGAUCAUUUCUAGCAACUGAUGAAGACCCGCAACUUCCUCUACAGGAAGGUGAUCCUGUCCUCGCAUCCAUCUAGUGGUGACUGCACGGCCUUGCUCUUGCAUCGGCCAUAGGAACACCUCUCCUUUGCAUGGAUUGGGGACACCAAAUGGACUUGGCUUGAUGCAAUGGAGUGCUACAAUUGGUACGAGGAUAUCUUCUACAAUGACAAUGACAUCUUGUUCUAUGCUAUCAGAGGCAAUGGCGAGAUCCAUACUAUUGAUCUCAAUGGCCAUUCUCCAGUGGUUAAGGUUAUCUUUGAAGUUGAGUCUCACAUCUUCAUGUCCAAGAACUAUAUCGUUUAGACACCAUGGGGUGAUCUCCUUCGUGUAAAGAGGUAAUAUCCCGACCCUCCUUGAGAUAUUGCAGAAUCGGAUGAUGGAUACCAAUCAAGUAACCAGGAGGUAGAAGACAGUUCGUUGGAUGAAGAGGAUGAUUCUGAUGAUACUGACCAACCAAAUGACGAUUCCGAGGUGGAAAACAACUUGUUGCAUGAACUGGACAGGAUGGGAAAACUAACGGUCCACAGGGUUUAUCUUGCCAAACGAGAGGCAACUGAAGUACAAAACAUGCGGGAUCACGUGCUACUCGUCGGGUUCAACAACGCGUUCAUGCUUCAGGCUCGAGAUUUUCCACUAUAUUUAACCCUGAAUCGUGUCUGCAUUGUGCACGACAAUUGGCUUGCGUGGAUUUGGAGGAUGGAAGUUUCACCGAUCUGUCACUUCCUGAUUCAGUGCUGAAUUGGCCCCCUCCAGUUUGGCUCAAUUUCUCAUGUUCACUGCAGAAAUAAAGGUCAGUGCGCACGGUUGUUCCGGAAGUUGCAUGAGCCAUGAUCAACUUGUUAGGUUACUAGCAUAUGGAACCUGUCACUGAAGUAGUGUUUUCCUUUUUUGUACUAUGUAAUACUAUUUUCCAACUCUACCAUCAUUGUUAAAUAGUAAUUUUUGUUGAUGUUCUAAAGAGUUUUUUUUCUUUUUAUGAAGCAAAAACAAAGGCACAAUCCCAACUACAUGCACGCAUCCUCACUCUUAUGAAUGUUUUUGAGAGAUUGGGCUAACAUAUAUUGAUAUCAAUGAAGUCAUUAUAUGUAUCAAGUUGUCAGUAGGCUGGUCGCCUACAACCAUAUUAUCACUAAAAGAACAAACUUUAUUAACUUAGCUAUGCUCAAAGCAAAUCCUAUGGGUCCAGCUAAUAUGGUCAACUUACUACACAUAAAAGGUUUCUCAUGGUGCAAGAGAAGUGGGUUCCUUCUAGUGGAAAGAUGUUCUUAGACUGAACGUGCUAUAUAGAGGAGUGGCCAUGUGUAAAUUAGGGGAUGGUUCUACAGUUUUGUUUUGGGAUGAUCUAUGGAGCUCGAAUGUGGUGGCUGACCUAUUCCCCAAGUUAUUCUCUUUUGAAAGUAAUACCCAAGUGUCAGUAAGGGAUGUGAUAAAUGUAGAAGAUCUAGAAACCCUAUUUUCACUUCCUCUCUCCCAGGAAGCAUUCUCAGAGUUGCAACAAUUACAGAUGUACUUGCAAGAUGUGCCUUACAAUGCCAGCAUGGGAGACCAGUGGUCAUUGAUAUGGAGCAAUGCUACAUACACAUCUAGCAGACUCUACAAGUGUGUUUUCUCUGGGUGGCAGGCACAACCGACCUUCGCUUGGUUAUGGCAGUCCAAGUGUACCCCAGAUUGAAGUUUUUUGCAUGGUUACUCAUCGUUGAUCAUCUCAAUACAAAGGAUAUCAUGAGAAGAAGACACUUCAAUGUCCAAAUGGGCAUUUACUGUGUUCUGUGUGAUAUGGCAAUUGCUGAAGAUAGAGAUCAUGUCUUCUUUGACUGCAUAUUUGCCAAAACAUGCUGAUCCAAGUUGCAGAUUUCAUGGAGAAAUUUUUUAGAUAUACAUGACGAGAUCAAAGCUGCAAGACAGGCGUCAGCAAAAUGUUUUUUUUAUGGACAUCUUCAUUAUUGCAUCAUGGGAAAUAUGGAAAAUGCGUAAUGCAAUAAUCUUUGAUGCGGCACACCCCAGCAUUCAUCUUUGGACCUUGAGGUUUAAAGAACAAGUUCUUCUCCAGCUCCUACGCUUUCGGGAAGAUCGUAGACUUCUUUUUUCGCAAUGGCUAGAAUCUCAUUUGUAAUCUCGUAGUCCCCCCCCCCCCCCCACACACACACACAUCUUCAUGUUGUAAAUAUCUGUAGGUAUGGCUUUUUUAACCCCUAAACUUAUAUUUGUAAGUAUGACUUUUUUAAUCCCCUAACUUUUUUUUUAUGAAAUGAAGUGCUGUGGGGAACUCUCCCACAGUUUACCCUUCAAAAUAGUUGUUUCCUUAAUUAUUAAUAUUAACUAAUAAUGAACCCUUACAAUAUAUGUUGCUCGCUACCCUAUGAAGUUUCUUGUUUUGAUAACCAAACACAUAGUGCAGUGCAGUUUGGUGCUAGCCUGCGACGCCAACAACAAACUAAAAUAUUAAUUUCUUGUUUUAGUCUAUGGACAAGCUUUUCCAAUGGCGGGGAUAGAACAAUUAUGAUGAAGAACAAAUAGCGCAUUUACAGUUAUUUUUAGAAAGACAGGCCAAUGGCCUGCCCUAUUUCCAAUUGAAAAAGGAAGACAUACAAGUUCAUUUAUAUGGGAUUUGGCACAUGAGAUGGUAAAUUAUGAGAAUUCCAAAGCAAUAGCAUAUUAGCAUGCAUGGAGUCUAGUCCACGUUUCUUUCAAAUACAGAAAUGAGAGAAUAGAGCUAAUGUGUGCAUAGACACAUGUCACAUUAUCAGUGUAUAUACCACGUGAAAAUCCACGUGACUUAUAACCUCCGUGAACAACCAAGUCUUUUGUAAUCCUUUUUGUCACCUGUGCAUAAUAGUACUUUUGAUUUUUGAAUGCUAGCUGAUUUAUACCCACAUCAUAAUGUCAUAUCGUGGUGUUAAUUGGCCGACAAUGAGAUGAUGCCAAUUAGUGAGCGUAAUUAGAGGUAAUAAAAUGGCUCAUGGAGGGCAUCCAUUCCCCAACGAAUGCCUAGAGACGUUAGGUUCAAAGUCACAGCCUCACAGGCAAAAUGCUGCAUUGCCUUCCUCUUCCCCUAGUGACCGUUUUCUGGAGCCUGAUGUAAGUUUCAAAUUUACGGAUUUCGGGAAGGUUAAGAAAAAUGGUAACUUUUUAGAGAACUCAUAGAUGUGAGGUACUUUGUGUGGAAUAUGGAUAAAAGGAUAACCAUAGGGUUCUCACACAUGUCCUAACACUUGGACCCACAAAAAAUGACCUAAAAUUGGCGCCAAAAUAGACAAACAAAAAUACCACAAAAUAGCUUUGGAAUUCAAGAUAUCGCAAAAGAAAAGAACUAGAAAGAGGGAAAAAUCAUACGCAAAAAUUGUAGAAGAAAAAUGGCAUUCAUAAGUUCAGAUGGUGGCAACGAAAAUCUAAUCCACAAAUCCAAAAUUGGACAGGUUCAUGCUCUUCGCCUUUCUUUUUUGCCCCUUGUACUCAUUGCUAGUGGUUACAAACAGAGCAUUGGAGCUUUAUCAGUUUUUUUAGAACUUUGGUCAGGUUUAUAUUUAUAUAAAUUAAUUUCGAAACGUUUCCUUUUUGUUUAUUUUUCCAAAUAAUUCCGUAUGAAAAGCGUCUAUUAGACUUGAAUUUAGUCUUUGGGCUGGUAUUGACACAUUCAACAGAGCAGCAACUCGUCGAAGAAAGGCUCCAAUCAUGGGCUUACACGGCCUACAAAGGCCAAGUGCUUGUCGCUACAGAUACAACAACGGGGGCCCGGGCUCCCAAAUUCUUCCAGACAAAUUUUUUCCCGUGCACACUUUUCUCCUCGUCGCCGGCGGCCACCAUGUCGAUCCCCGGCAACGGCCACCUUCCCGCCUCCGCCUCCCUCCCCGACCACUCCUCCGCCUCCGAUUCCGACGCCGAGCCGGAAGCCAACUACAGCCCCAUCGCCGGCGCCGCCUCCGACUCCGAUUCGGACACCGACCCGGACGCUGCCAUGCCCCACCACCGUCUCGACGAGACCGGCAACGGCAUCUCCGCCCUGGAUCUCGCCUCCGACGCGGACGAGGAGGCGGAUGGGGAGGAAGGGGAGCGGGAGGAGGAGGACGUGACUGCGGUGGAGGCGGCGGCGCGGGCGUUCUCGGAGGACGAGCGCCGUCGCCGCGCCCCGCUUCCCGAGGGCGCCGCGGCGCGGAUCGUGGACGCGAUGCGCGGCGUCGAGUUUCCCGGCACGCCGCCGGCGUGGGCGGGCAGCGUCCCCGAGGACCAGUGGGUCGACCGCCUCCGCUCCCUCCGCGCCGGCCGCCCUAACUGAUCUGAGCCAGCACAGAAGGGGCUUCUUUGGCUUCUGAGUUGAUACAACACCAUACAAAAUUUAUGCGAACUUUCGAUCUGGUUUGCGUUUCACGCGGACCAUUUAUCUCUUACUUUGCUUCUACUAGCUAUGUUGCUGUUGUAUUGUAAUCGUGACUGGAGUGCAAAUCUUUGGCGAUAAGAUUUGUGGUUAGUUGGAACUGCGAUCUUGGUGAGGCCUUUACAGUUCAGAGUUCAGACCACUCGUAUGCAAGUUUAGACAGUGUCUCUUUCUUACUGCUGAUUAGAAUUCGAAUGCAAAUCAUUGGAGUUAAGAUUUGGGUGUUGCUCCUGAUCUUUGAACUGAUUGAUUUUUUUUUUCUCCUGAAAGAUCCUAUAGUAUAAAGUGAUUCUGAUCUUGUUUCUUCUGAGUGUGCUUGUGCUUCGGUAGCUGACAGACGCGCGGCUACAGCAUGUUCACUUGUUCAGACAAGCAGUUGUUUCGUACUUACUUCUAAGAUGGAUGCGAAUUACUGUGAUUUACUAUUUGGUAUCUGGUUUGUAUGGAGCAAUGCUCUCUUGCUUGCUUCAGAACUGGUACCAAAUAGAUAGUGAUACGGAGAAAGUAUUAGAGCAAGUAUAAUAAGGGGCUGUAAGCUGGCUGAAUGCUGACGUGGAGGAGAGAGAAGAGGUGAGAGAGGAGAAGCGGGCUAUAAGCUUACAGCCGACUUGGGCACAGGAACCAAGAAACUUUGUGAGAAUGACUUGUGGGCCAUGUAUUAAUGGUGAAGAGCUAACCAUUGUACGAGUGGGCUAGGAAAAGGCUGAGAGAAAUCUUGCAGCCCGCUUGCUAGCUGCGUUAUUAAACUUGCUCUUAGCAUAUUGUUGCUUCUGUUGUAUUAUUGCUUCUGUUGUAUUAAUGAUGUUCUUGAUGGAACCUCAGGGGUUGAUAUACCGUGAAUUGCGAUCGCAAGCAUUGCUUCUCUAAGCUGAAUGUGGGCACUAGCCUAGCGGGCAGCUUCUGCAAGUCCCAUCCUUUUUUUGCAUCAGGGAUCGACCCAGGCUCAUUUGGCAGGGCUGCGGCUGUGGUUGAAACAGCUCCGGCUGUGGCUCCUCUGGUGGAGCUGAAGUCACUCUGAAAAGUGUUUGACAAAACGACUUCUCCUAUAUUUUUUUAGAAUUGAUGUGAAAGAUCAAAUGUCCUGUAUGCCUUCAGGCGAGGUGGCUUGUUUGAAUAAAUGAAUUAAAUAUUUAAUAUUAGUUUAUAAUUUGAGUUCAUUAGAAGUAUAAAAAAUAAAUUAAAAGGAUUAGUGUUGUUUAAUCAAUAAUUAGUGUGUUUUAAUUUUUCUUUAUUCUCCAAAUAAUACUUAUUCUCUCCCUUUAUUUUUUUUCUACUUUAUCCAUUCCCUUCCUUUCUUAUCGUUGCCCCUGCUAGAACUGUCGCACGACGCAAACUCCUUCGGUGGUGUUUGGGAGGCAUGAGCUAAAUUUUAACCCCUAUCACAUCGGAUGUUUGGAUACUAAUUAGGAGUAUUAAACAUAGACUAAUUACAAAACUAAUUGCACAACCCCUAGGCUAAAUCGCGAGACGAAUCUAUUAAGCCUAAUUAGUCCAUGAUUUGACAAUGUGUUGCUACAGUAACCAUUCGCUAAUGAUGGAUUAAUUAGGCUUAAUAGAUUCGUCUCGCAAUUUAGCCCAGGGGUUCUGCUAUUAGUUUUAUAAUUAGCUCAUGUUUAGUCCUCCUAAUUAGCAUCCGAACAUCCGAUGUGACAGGGCUAAACUUUAGCCCCUGCUAUCCAAACACCCCUUUCGUUGGACCUGUUGCUCCUGCUGGCUGCUACUAUUGCCCCACCUGUCGGCCUACCGCUCUUGCCCGUCCACUGUUGUUGCUACUCCGCUUGCUGCUGUUUGCCCGUCCACUACUGCUGUUGCUCCGCCGGGCCACUGGAUCCAUCGCUUUGAGCCAUCGGCGCUUCUUUUCCGGUUGCGCAGCCACCGCCCCUUCAUCCAUAUGCGCUGUCACCGCUGACGGAUCGUGAGAGGGAGAUGAAAGAAUCGCGGAUGGGGACGAGGCAUAUCUGUUCGGAGGUAUGUGGUGGCAAUUUUGAUGUAAUUACGGACACGGUGGAGGGCAGUUUCGUACCGAAAGGUGGGGUCGAGGGGCAGAGCCGUAGGGAGCCAGUUUUUCGGCUACACCCCUCUAGUACAAAUCUCAGACCGAUUUCUUUUGAGCUUCCCAUGAGAAGCUGUUUUUUUAUGCUCGUUUGGUCCAGCUUUGCUUGAAGCCAUAGGAGAAGCCACAGUAAAAACCCUGCUAAAGGGGCCAAGUGUAUAUCUUUGUGCACCUAUUGACUAUGAUGUGCUGAGUCACCAUGUUCUUAGCUUCUCUUUGAUCCGUAUGGUUUCUUUGAUGAUUGGUUUGAUGGAGCACCGAGCUUUCAUAAGAGUUUGACAUCUUAGAGGCAUAUUUGAAUAUGUGCGGCCUUGGUACAUGUUCUGUCUCGGGGGGGCAGACGAUGUCAUACUUAGCUAUGCUUAUUUGAUUCAAGGGUCCAUGGAUUUACGAUCUGGAGAUUUCCUUUGUGUCAUCUGUUCAUCAGGAAGCAGAACUGGUAUCUCAUGCUUUGAUAUCAACGAUCUCAUCCUCAUUCAUGAUGGCUGUUUGCCAAGAUUUUGUUACCAUGCGUGUUGUGCCUCCCGUACUCCUUUCCGUUCAUUGUCGACGGUUUGGCCUUUGUCUCUUCCUAGCUUCACUAUAUAUUGUUUUCAGUUAAAACAAUUAUCGAAGUUCGCUUCAAAGUCGGGGUCCAGCUCGUGUCUUUCAAGUGGAUUUUGAUCAGAGCAGCGAAACGGGCGGUUGGAACUGAAAAUCCCGUCGAAUCUGAUUCGCGAACCCCACUCACCACUCGGGCAGUGAAAAUGACUAAUUUACCCUCGACCUGCCGCAAUCCAAUGCACGCACGAACUCUAGGGAAUCUCGACUUCACGUAUUCCCGUUCCGUCCUCAAGAAAAAGGGUCUGUUCGCUUCAGCUUAUUCAGCCGGCUUAUCAGCCACCAAACAAUAUUUUCCUCUCACAACAAAUCAGCCGUUUCAACUUUUCAGCCGGCUUAUAAGCUGAAGCGAACAGACUCAAAAUCGAUAUAACCCCUAACAUGUACUAAAUGGUUUACCUCACUCCUAACCCUUAAAACUGGCUUUUUACCCCUAAAUUAGGUAAAACCAUUUAUGUAGCCCUUGAGGUAGUUUUGCAUGUGAGUUAGCAUGCUAUGUUGGAUAAGAGAUGACAACGUAGCAUUUGGACUCACCUAUCAGUUUUUUCCCCAAAACUAGCCACCGCCCAUCAUCUUCCCUUCUUGAGUGCGAGUCGAGCGCAACAGGCGAAGGAGGGGAGGGGAGGUAGAAGAAAUAAAGAAUAAUUUAGCAAGUGGAUCCAUAUCAGCAUGGCAUGCCAGGUGGCAAAAUCAUCCUGCAAAACUAUCCAAGAGGUUAUUGGAAUGGUAUUGCAAAGUUUAAUGUGGGUUAAUCCGAUAGUUCGUGGGGUGAAGUAGUCCGCGGGUCAGGGUCCCGUAGACUUUUUCCUUCCGUCCUCCGUUCCUUUCCCCGCAGCCCGCAAGGCGAAGCGAAGCAAAACCCCCUUCCCUUCCCAUUCCUCUUCGUUUCCGUCGGCGGCGGCGGACCGGACCCGAGCGGGAGCCCUAACCCUAGGAGGAAGGCGGCGGCCGAGAUGGUGUACUUCGCGCUGUAUGUGGGUGCGGAGCUGGACGGCCUCACCAACCUGCAGCCCCGCGGCGGCUGCGACGACCCCAACUUCCCCUACUACCUCAAGGUCGGUGUUCCCCUUCCCUUCUCCUCCUUUCCCUGGCUCGAUCGGCUCCGCUUCCCCUCCCUUUUGAUUGCGAACCGCUCUGAUGGGGGAUUCCUCGCUCGCUUCUGUGUGCUGGAUCGCAGCUCAAGUGCGAGAACUGCGGGGAGGUCACCGCCAAGUCCACCUACGUCACCCUCAGCGAGCAAGUCGACCUCCCCAAAGGACACGGCACCGCCCACCUCGUCCAGAAGGUACCCUCGCAAACAACACAUUCCUCCUCUAGCCAGAUGGAUUCGGUUUUUGUCAUGCAGUAAUGUUCGUGUGAUUGAUGAGACUUGCCUAAGAAGAGUACUUGUUAGUAUGGCAGAUGGCAUCAAUCGAGCUUGUUAGUAUGUCUAUAAUGUGGUAGGUUCUGGUAGAUGACUCCUUUGUGCAUACAUCCGUUUGCCCUUGUUUACUGUGGAUUUGGCGAACGAUUUUUGUUUCCUUGCGUAAAAGGGCAUUAGAUUGGGCAGCAGAGGGUUACAUACGUGUAUAAAGGUAACCACAAGUGUUUGUUGUCUUCUUAAGGAAUCUAGUUGUGCUAUUAACUUGGUUAAACCUUCUAAGUAUUUCUGUAAGUAAUGCAAUUUUUCCUGUGGCGAAUGUGAUUGAUGAGACAGGGUGUGCUUGUUAAUGUUUCUGAUAGGAGUUGAUAUCGACUGGCUAGCUAUUAUGCUGUUUGAUGAACUAGCAUGGUUUAAGGAAAGAAAUUUAGAAGGCUAGAAUGCCGUGGUUCAUUGAGAUUCCCUUGCUUCACAUUUCUUUCUUUUUAUGUUUUUUGGUAAAGGAUUCUGUGAGAACUUCUGUUGUCAUGAUUAAAAUGGGGAUUGCAUUGUGCAGAGGAGGGUCAUAUUUGUGUAGAAAGGCAGCAGCAAAAGGUUGUUGCCUUCUCCUGGAUUCUUGCCAACUAGGUGUCCUUGCAAAUAUAUGCUUUUGGGUUGGGAUACAUGCCUUUUGAUUGGGAAGAAAUGAUAUUUUCUUUGUUAAUGUGAUUUGUUUACUUGUAAUCGUUGAUAGAGUGAUGAAUUUUUCCUUAAUUUGUGAUAGUAUAGUUUUUCCCCUGAGGUUCUUCGUAUCUUUUUAAAUAUUCUACACAAAGUUAAGAUGCAAAAGUUCUAGGUGCACUGUGAGCCAUAGGACACAAGAUUGCUUGGCCACUGUUCAUGAUGGGAAAGCACCUCAGCGUCUGUGUUGACUUUUGUCUACUCAUUCAAUGCAGUUAUUUUUGGCUAUUAUCCUAUUAUGAUUGUGUUUCUGUACCAUUGUCCUCAUCCAUAGUAGAAAAAUAAUUUUCUGUAGCCUAACUGAAAACAGCCUAAUAAAUCAUAGUUAUAUCUUAUCAUGGUGUGUUCUGCACUUAGAUACAUGAUUAUGGUUGCUAUGUCUUCUUCUCUCAUGUUUAUUUUAUUAUGUCAUCUAGGUGAAUAUGUACUAUUAUCGCUUUUUUGCAUAAAACUUCUUAGUGUGUGUAGGACUACGAAUAUCAAACGUCACCAGAUGCAAAAGAUGCCAUUUUUUAGGCUAAGAAAAUCUAUUUUUUAAACAAUUCUUGAAUGAAUUAUUUUAUUAUUAUUCACUGACCAAAUGCAAACAGCUAUGUGUCACAUUCUUUUUGUGGCAUUAUUAUGUUUGAGUGCACCACUGUACCUUAUCAGUAGUUAUGUCUGCACACACCAAUGUGUGACAGACCUCAUAUUUCCAGUUCAUGGUUUUUUUAAUGAUAACAGUCCUUUUCAAUGCCUGAUGUGGAGGUUAUAUUGCUGAAUGGCUUUUCUAUGCAAUAAAGGUUCUUUGUCUAAUUUUUAGCCUUUAGGCUUCUAAGAAAGGCGUAAAGGAGGAAAAACUUGUUUCAGUAUAUAGUAGAUCUAUUUGUUAUUAUGCCCAAUGUAUGAUGUUUUGGUUUACUUUUGUCUCAGUGCAAGCUUUGUGGGAGAGAAGGAACGAUUGUGAUGAUUCCUGGGCAGGGGACGCCACUAACUAUUGAGCAGAGCCAGAAAGAAGAAAAGACUUGUUUGAUGGUCUUUGACUGCAGAGGCUAUGAACCUGUUGAGUUUUCCUUUGGUGCUGGCUGGAAGGCUGAAUCUGUAAGUACUUUUUGAGCUUUCAUCGUGAAUAUUGAUGACUGCUUAAAUAUGCAAAAACCAAUAUUUAAUCUGUAACGAACAAUUAAUCUCGUCAAGGUUAUUCAUAUUCUAGAAAUGAGCUCAGUCUGAUAUUCUAUUCUAUGUAAUCUUGCCUUGUUAUUCCACUUCUGUUAACUUGUCUUGUUAAAUGCAUGAUUGUGUCUUGUGUUUUCCGUAAUCACAUAUCUGGAGAUACAACCUUUUGUUUUCACAUGGCACUUUACUUAAGAAAUGCAAGGUCACAUCACACAUUACUUAGAAACACACAUGUAUUUGUACUAGAGUAAUUUGUUUUCACAUUGAGCUAUCUUAAGCAUAGAAGGAUACGUGGUUUCUAUUUUUACAUUGGCACAGGGUUGGCCCUGUGUUUUUCGUUCCAGUUUUCCAUUCCAGUUUAUCAUUCCUGCUUGUAUGGCAUCUGAGCUGCAUAUAUAUUUUUCUUUGAGUUGAUAUGCUGAUUCUUUAAUGGGUGUUUAGUUUGAGGGAUGGGGUGAUUUAUCACUUUCUCAAUCCUCACAUUUUUGUUUGGUUUGGUGAAUGUAAUGGUUUGAUCUGUCACUACCUCAUCCCUCACAAGCACAUGGUUAAUUUAAUUAUAAUGAUGAAUGGUUUCAUGCGCCAAAAUUCAUGGGAUGCGCCAUUCCAUUUCUAGAUGGAUGAGGCAAUUCCCUUAACCAAACUCCCCAUAAGUUCAUACAUUAAUUGACUAUCUUCAUUCCCCAAGAAGAUAUGAAUACAUCUUUGCUUUCUUUAGCAGCAGUAAAUCAAUGAAUUUUUCUUUUGAAUGGAAAUUUACAAUUUUUGAGCAAAUUGGGAACUUGAUUGGAAACCUCCUAUUUGUUCACUACCAACUGAAUUGAUUGAUAUUUUGUGGAAUUUGUUGCUAGGGUAUUAUUUAUUUUCUUUUCCCUGUACGUCACUGCCACAAUUGUUCACUUGUGCCUGUUGCGCUAACAGUCAAUCAUCUCUUUCAUUUUAAGGUCCAUGGGACUCCUUUUGACAUAGACUGCUCUGAAGGUGAAUUUUCUGAGUAUGAUGAGAAGGGAGAAUGCCCUGUUGAGUUAGGCAAGCUGCAGUCAACAUUCAAAGUGGUAAGUAGGCACUUGCAUCAUGUACCAGCAAACACGAUACAAUUCAUAUUUAUCGUUGUUGCAAUUCCUGUGAUUGGCAACAGGUGAAGAAGCAUGAGAGGGGUGGGAAGACUAGAUUCGUCUAGACCCAGUGACAUGGGAAUCGUCAGGUAUUGGAACUGAAGGUGUAUAAAUCGUGAAUUUGGGAUAAAGGUCAUGCAUAAUCAGAUGUCCUUUCCUUUUUCUGUUGGUUCUGUGGAUGCUGUGAACUAUGUGAAGCUUUUCUGUGAUACAGUGCUCACAGAGGCAUGACCCUGGACUGAUUGCAAUGUUCUAUAUGUGCGCUCUCGAGUCCAGCAGUCCGAACUGGUCUUCUGAUCUUAUAAUGCUCAAACAUGUUGAUAAAUUUUGAACACCGUUUCCUAUGGCUCUGAUGGGUCUGAAUUCAUCACAAGGGGACAUGUGCAGUGUAAAUUCUCAGAGACGCAUCUCCGCUUGCGCGGUGGUCUUCAUGUUAUCAUGUGUUGCAUGUUUUGCUUUAGCGUCACGCAGUGCACACCUUCUCAUACUUAAGCCGUUACAAACGGCUUUGCAGGUGAGGCAACUUAUGACAUUUAAACCCCCGUUAGCUGCCUUUACUUGUACUCGAUGCUAUCUCUCGUUUCUGUUUACAUAGGGAUGAAGGAUCGAAGAAGCCAAGUUUGCUUGUUCCUUUCCUUCGUCUGCGGAACUCAUCCGUACUUCCCUUUUUUUUUCAAAAUAAUAUGUGCUUUGAUUCUGCCAAAACCUUUGCUAGAGCACUUAUGCUGUAAUUUAUUGAUCCAAAUCGGUAAAUGAGUAUGAAAAAUAGACACAAAAGCUAUGGCGAAGCCUAAUGUGCAGUUGUGUAUAAAUCCUGUCUCACGUAAGGGGGAGGAAAAAGGACCAAAAGUUCAUUUUUAAGAGUAACCUUCGGAUUUCGGAAAGCGAAAGACGUUUGACACGCAUUUUUCUUGGUAUAACAGGCACAAUAUCAAGAUAUAAUAGGGUCCUGAAUCCUGACCUUGAUUCAAAUAAUUACAGGCUUCAUCAGCAUUUGAGCUCUCACAUUGUAGUCACAUUAAGAGCAAAGGUCGAAGCAAGAAAGCAGGCGCUCGCAGAAAGUGGGGGUUCCUUGCGCUGAUUCUCCCUCUCUUUUUUUUUGCGAAUAAAGAGAGAGCUUUAUUAGUUACUCAAAGGAGAAUUACAAUCUCGAGCAACUAGAUGCUCAACACAGGCCGGAGCUCGGGUGCGCCAUACUGCACUAUGGAACAACCUUCUGGCGAGCUGUGCUAACUCAUGUGCUACACUAUUCUGCUCUCUCUUUACAUGUCUGAAUAAAACUGCUGGCAGACCCUCAGCUGCCCUUGCCGCCUCCUUGAUGAUGAGCGCCGAGGGGGAUCUUUGGCAUUCUGGCUUCGAUAGGAGGUUAAUCGCAGAUAGGCAAUCAGACUCCAGCACGGCCGGUUUAGGGGACCACUCAGCUGCCAGCAUGAUUCCUUCCUUGCAAGCCGUAAUCUCCACCUCCUCUGCGCUAGCUGCAUUAAAGAUAGCUCGUAUUACCACUCCAAUGCCCGCCUCCCCUCGUUCUGUGAAUGCACCAUCCACAUUGAUCUUUAUCCAUCCCUCCCGGGGAAGCCGGCUAGCAAACAUUGGCUUCUUGCCUUUAUCGUCCAGCCCAUCCUCUUGUCGGAUGCUGCACAGUGUUGCCCAAUAGUUCAGAAGGAAUCCAACUGAGCUCGUGAUAGACAGCUUACGCGAGGAGUGUGUCAGCUCAUUACGGAUGAACCAGGCCCGCCAUAAAAUGAGGACAAGACGGCCUGCUGUCUCCACAUCGUUCUGAUCAAUCAACCUAAGCCACUCAUGCCCUGCGUGCUGGAGCUCUUCCUCCGCUGGGAUCACCCACUUCUCUCGCAUAUAUAGCUUCUCUCAAGCUUCUUGCGUGCGGACACUGGACCACUGCAUGAUGAUCUGUUUCCUCGCCCCCACAAAUGUUGCAAGUACUCAGUAUCUCCAUCUUGCGUGCCUUCUUGUUUGCUUGAGAGGCCAGUCCACUGUGUGCAAGCUUCCAAGCAAAGACUUUCACUUUCUGAGGGAUCAACAAACUCCAAAAUUUCUUCCAUACAGGUCUGUCACCACACUACUGGAAAAAUCAACAUUCGUCCCGAGGCUCAACAUUCGUCCUGAGGCUCUGUACCGGUUGCAUUUUGGCCCGAGGAACCCACCGUGACCCCCUUUAGUACCGGGUGAAGCCUUCACCCGGUACUAAAGGUCACCCAUUAGUACCGGUUGAGGUCUCCAACCGAUACUAAUGUGCCUGAGGGCCUUUACUAGUAAAGAUUUAAAUAAUUAAAUAUAUCAAAAUAAAUAUUUCCAUAAAUAUAUAUCCUUUAAAAAUAAAAAUAAGUACGUUAAUACAUAGAAAUAUAAGUUAUUCAUUAAAUAAAUAGUACAAUGUAUUUAAAAUUAAUAUGAUUAGCCAUAUUAAAAUUAAUUAAACUUUAUCAUUGUAUAUCGCUACUAAUAUUAGAUUAACGUAAUUAUUCAUUUGCCAUAUAGAUAUUUUUAUUGUUUAAAUGAUGUACAUCAUUAUUUUACUAAUAAUACUAAAAUUAACAUCAUUUGUAAUAAGUUAUUAGUCAUAAAAAUAAGUUUUAAAUGGUUUUAUCAAAUACUUUAUUCUUCACGGAUACAGAUAGUGUCGGAUAUUCCACAUUUUGGUCGAAUAUGAAUUUGGAAUCUAUAAAAUACUAAAAUCGAAUCCGGAUACAUCCAUUUGACAUCCAUAUUAAUAAUGAAUAUGAAUACGAAUACGAAUAUCAUAUUAACUUUUUUGGUGAAUACAAAUUUGGAUAAUUCAAAUUUCCAGACAUCCAUAUUCAUCCCUCACCGCAAGUCAGCUCCACGGGAUCACAUGUACUCGUGGGUUGUGGCUGGAUGGCUUAUCUCAGCCUCAAGGCAAGUAGACUAUUGGUCAUCGCUUACCACGAAACUUCCUUUUAUACCUUCGUGUCCGGCAAAAUGAUAAUAACAUUUCGGACAUUUCUUUUAUUUUCGAAAUAUAUGGGCAUUUUUUUAGACAAGACAAGUGCAGAUCUUUAGAAAAAUGUAAAACUACAUGUACAUGUGACCAUUUAUCUCAAUUGUCGAUGUCUCUCCAUCCAACUGUUGAUCCACUAGCUACUCCAUGUACUUCUCACCUACCUAUAAUCUAUAUCACCGUUGAUUAAAAAAAUGAAUAUCAUGGAUAGCUCAUGUGGUCACAUAUACAUAUGAAAAAUCCAUGUUCCAGAUCUUACAAUAAUUCAGCAUUUCGAAUAGAACCACACAUGUAAAUGUGAUCAUGAGCUAUCCAAGCCAUUCAUUUUUAAAUCAAUGGUAAGAUGGAUCAUGUGUAGAUGAGAAGCACAUAAGGUAGGUAGUAGGAUGGAGAGAAAUCAACAGAUAAGUCAUGUGGUGACAUGUACACACAUCCGGUAGAUAUUACAGAGACGAGCCAGGAUAUAGAAGAAUUGGUUACUUGAAUUGUGGAAUCUGGAAUCUCUAUAACUAGAAACCACACACAUGUCAAACAUAUAGACAUGAACUGAAUGCCAAUGCCAUGAAAGCAACGCCGCAAUGCCCAUGGAUCUCUCGUAAAUAAAUGACUUCAACUGAAUGGGGCUUUCACACGUAAAAAAAUGACAGCACUUGCUCAAAUCUGCUUCCGUAUUGCUUAUCUGUUCAGUUUUUCUUUCAAACAGAAACCAAUCAGAUAUACAAGACUCUGACUGAUGGUCUGAACUUGUUACCUCAACAUUGGCACCCCAUACAAGCACACAACACACAAAUAUGGUCUGAACAAAAGAAAUAGGAAAUACAAAAGAAAUACACACAGGUUACAAAAUGCAGAUAGAAUAAAAGAAAUUCACAGCUGCCGUCCUCCGUCCUGGUUGCGGUAGAAACUACUGUCCAAUGCAAAGCAAUCCCCUAGUGCACGAGCUUGAAAUACAGGAUUACUAGGAUGGCCAAGACAAGGAGGGCUAUGAUGAGACCGAUGAUCCACUUAUUUCUAUCCAUUCUCCUCACCAUGCUUCCAACGGUCUUCCUGCUCUUGCUAACGUUGACAUCGACGUCAUCCAACUGCAGUGCCAAAUAAGGAUUGCACAACAGGGGUUAAAAAGAACAGGAGAUUUGAACAAAAUAGACAUCCGCAUGUUGGUAAUGGUGGACACCAACUACAUUUAAGUCGUGCAUAGCAGCAUGGACUUACUUUGUUUAGUCAAACUAAGUACUAAGGGUUGGUACAUGAUCAAAGCUUAUACCACGUUUGACUAAUCCAAGUUGAAGCUCUUUUUUUCCAUAAAACAAGUUGAAGCAUUAGAUGAUCUUAUAACCUUAUGCACCUCGUGACAUUUUGUUAAAUUCAUCUUGCUUAUUUUUUAAAAAUGACAGCCCCUUUUAAUCUAAAAUUUUAAUAAUAACAUGUGUCAAACUAAAUUUUCAAUAAGUAGCCCUUUUGCUUAUACCAUGACUCCUUAACUUGGUCGAAUUCGUGACACCAAGUAGCCUGGCGCACCUCGCCUCUGGAGUCAUGCCAAGUAACUUGGCGUUACCAAGUUGAAGAGUCAUGCUAAGCUCUUUGGCGUGAUCAAAAGGGCUAGUUCUUGAAAACACAUGCUGUCUUUAGAUCAAUAAGGGCUAAAAAAACAUACAAGACAUCUCCACUCAGCAAUUAAUUGUUCUAAACCUCUCUCCAAAUUGAUAAGUUGGUGACUUGGUUCAGUGUUUUAAGCACACGCCUCACAAUGGUAUGUUUGUAUGUAUGUCUUUAGGCAUGUGAUCAGAGUGGUACUUGUCAAUUACAUCAGUCACAAGUAAGAAAAAAUGGAAAGAGGGAACUUUAAGUAAGUCUAUGCAUGACAAGAAAUGAAAAACAGUGAAGAAUCAGUAGAACCCAACCAAUGUAGUCUAUCAUCUAUGUAGAUACUACAAACUACAAAGAACCAGGAAAAAUGGUGAAGAAAAGUAUGUUAGGGUCUACAGUAUCUUCUUUACAGUUUUCUGAUAUCAAAAGGCAUGAUAAAUAUUAAUAUACAAAUACAAACUAGUGUGGAUAAGCAUUUUUUAAUAGUAGACUAUGACGGAAAGGUACAUUUCAUCUAAUCUGCCACACAUUAAGGUAAGUAGAAGCUUGUCAAUGACUUCCUUUCAACAAAUUGCAUAGUACUGUUGCAUUAAAAUGAUUUGAAACAAAACCAAAUGGCACACAAAAAACAGAGAAUUAGUUCAAACAUGUAGAAUUAGGUAAACAGUUACUUACUGCACGAUGAGCAUGCAAGAGAGAUUGGCGUUGUUGACUCAGAUCAUGCAAGAUGGAGACUCCAAGAUCUUCAGUCUCCAGCAUAGUUCUAUGGCUAUCUCUGAGCCUAUCAGUUGUUUGGUUCUGUCUUUCAGUUGUCCUGAGCAGUCUUGAUCUUUGAUCAGCAGAAACCUGCAUUAUUAUCCAAAUACAUCAAUGGACUUACAUGGAGACCGGCAACUUUUGAUUGACAAGGUUGAAGAAUAAACCCAUGUGCUUAUAACAAGUAAAAUAAACUAAAAUUGACGAUAAGUAAGAAAUACGCCUGUCCGAAAGGACAAGAACCUCAUACUUCAUCAGAAUAUGAAUGUUGCCAGAUGAUAUGGCUAGAGCCUAGUUAUCUGGAUUACGGACAGCAUGUGCUAUAGCAUGCAGCACACAUUAGUAGAACUUUGCAGACAUUAUUCAUAGCUUUGGCUUAUUCAUGCUAUACAGGAUGUACUCUUUAGAAUUUCUAGAAGAAGUGCUUCAACAAAUAUUGAUUCCUAUCUUUGAUGAACAACAUGGGGAAACAGGUAUUUUUUUUUCAUUCAGAGUGUCCACAUCACCGUAAGUCCAGCAAACAACCGAAGAGCACAUUCUGACAUUAUCUACUCAUACAAGGCAUUGUUUUUGUCCCAAUCAGCUCCACAUAUCUAAUUUGGAGGGUUUAAUGCUUCAUUCACUGCAGUAUUGGAAGGAGCCUUAGAGACACUUGUAUCCAAAUCAUAGGGGUAAAAUUCCUGAACUUAAGCCAAAUUAACACCGACCAAACACAUACAAUUCUGUGUAUCUAGUAACCAAUAGAAAAUGAUGGUUCAAAUAUAGACACAUCAUGCAAAACCUUGUUAACAAACAAACAAGCACGAUUCACUCCAAAGUAGGAAUCAUUCAUGAUUUCCAAAUAAUAACAUACCCCCAAUGCAUCUGCCAUUCCUGACUCCAGCAAUUCCUCUCUCGCCCCUUGCUGUGCGUUACCACUGGUAAUCCUCUUCAACGCUCCCUUGAGGUUAUUAAGAUCUGACUUGUACUCCCUGAUCUUUGCUAGGAGCCCAGCUCUAACGCUUGGUUGGAGGCUCCUUGCUUCAAGAUCCAUCUUCCUUAUCUGAGAAGAAAAACAACAUCACCACUAUUUCAGAAUAUCCAAUCCAACAUAUCUAGCACCAGAAAAGAUAACUCCAGUUCCCACACUGCCUAGCCUGAUUCUAAGAAGAAAAUUUACACAACGACAUAAUCCUUGGCGUUGAAAUUCUUCCAUGGUCGAUGCAAUACAGCUCUUCUAAGAAGGAAGUUUCAUGUUUCUUUUUUUUACAACGGCUUAUAAAAUUCCAAAAUCAAACCCCGUGCGAUUUUCUAUAGUAGUGUAUUGCUUCAUUACUAGAAACAAGGGGGAAAGGGAAUACCAGUGCCUCGGCGCCAUCGAUGCCAGAUUUGAUCUCCGCCGCCUUCUGCUUCAGCUUCUCUGCAACGGAAUCAACCAAGCAUCCAAUGAUGAGAGAAUAAUACGAUUCGGAGCGGGAUCCACCAAAGAUUUCUUGGACGGAGAGAUUUGGGUGGAAUGGGUUACCUCCUUGGAGGGCUGCGGCAGCGGUGCAUUUGCGAGUGAGGGAGGCGGAGGCCUCGCAGUACUGGCGCUCGUAGCCCUCGAAGACCUCGCUCAUGGCGUCCCGAUCUCGAUCCGAGACGCCGACCGGGCUAAACCCCUCGAAAUCUUCGCUCGUGCGGUGCGAUCAGGCUCGUCCUGUGGCCACCGAGUCCGGAGGAGUCGCGGCGAAGGAACUGGAAUUGGGGAAGGAGGACACGGCUGGGGCCGUGAGCGUCAGGGGGCUUUUACGCAAACCGCCAUCGAAAGCGUAUUUUUGGAUGGUAGGAGGCUUUUUUCCCUCGCGGCUUCAAACGAGCUGCUGGGUAGAAAAAGUAAUUGACCCAUUCAAAAAAAACAAAGAAAACGUAAUUGAUCUAUACCCGGAAUUCUUUGGACGAUGGAUCUGCACCGGGAAUUAUUGGAUGAUUGAUAAUUGUUGAAGACCUUCAAAACUUCUUGAUGUGGCUUUUAAUCAGUAGCAAUUUUAGGUGGCGUUUGGUAAGUUGGAAAUAGGAGCUAGGACAGGGAAAAGGAGGAGGGAGUGGGAUAGGGAAAUUAACAGGGAUUAGGAUAGGGAAAUGAGGCCCCCUUUUCCCCGCAAUCUCAUCCCGGUGGGAGGUAUGGGUGCCGUCAGCCGCACUGCCCCCAAAGUCGUCGGAGCCGUCGCUCCCCACAGCCGCGCUGCUCCCUGGAUCGUCAGAGCCGUCGCUCGCCUCAGCUGCGCUGCCUCACGGGUCGUCGGAGCCCUCACGCACAUGCCGCCGGAGCCACCGCCGCCCCGCACGUGUGGGCUGUAAAAUCCGCGCGGCCCGCCCGUGCGGGCGUAGGCCGCCAUGCGGCCGAAGCCGUUGCUUACCUCGUGUGCUUGCGCCGCAGGAGACGCGGCUCGACCGCUACACCCGCAGGCCAUUGCGGGGCUGAAGAAUCGAAAGGUCGAUUCAUGCUGACUGUAGAUUUCAGAUGGAGAGACGAGCGUAGAUGGUUACCGGCGGAGCUGCUGCUUGCCCUGCCGGGCGGACAAAGGUGCGGGAUGGAGCAUGUCGUGGGGAAAAGUGAGCUGAUCAGAUGGAGUAGGAGAAGGUUGUAGACGGUCAUGGGUGUUCUGGGCGUGACGGAGGAGAAAAAUUGGUAUUUUAUUUUAAUAUAACUAGCAUAAUGUCCAUGCGUUGCUACUGUAAAAUAUUAAAUUUUCUAUAUUAAUUUUAUCCAAUUAAUCCAUAUUGUUAAAAAAGCAAUAAGAAAAUAAUAGAUUUGUACUCAUCAUGUAAUUAUGGAUGUUUUGUCAAUUUGAUACGUAUUGUUAGAAAAGCAAUAAAAAACUAUAAAACAUGAUAUGUGCUUGAGCUUAGUAUAUAUGUGCAAGAUAUUUGAAGCAAAAUCUUCUCUCCACUUCUCUCAUAGAGUAGAUAAUACUUAAUUUGGUGAUGACCACAUGUGCUCGGAAAGCAUAAUUAAUAAGAUUUGCCGGCUAUUGAACCAUUUCAUGGAUUGGCCAUUAGGCCAAAAACAUGGUAUCAUACUUCAAACCAGUAAAAUUGCUUAGGAAAAUCAAAAACAUGUGCAUGGCAUGGUAGUAUUAUGCGACCUGUGUAGACCCCAGGUUAUACGUUCAAACCUCUAUCCUGGUAGUUUUCGUCUUCGGGAUGCCCUCCUUUUUUUUUUGAUUACUGUGGGUCCCACAACAUAUCCCUAACCCGGUUCAAGAAAAACCAAACAUGGGUUUGGCAUAAGAUCUCAUAUCCCUAUCCCCAACCCUCCCCCUUCUUAUCCCAUUCUAUUUUGCCCUUUCCCUAUCCAAAUCUUUACCAAACACCACUUUAAAGGUAAGGGCAAUGGCUGAAUUUUAUUGUAGUACAUUUCACAAAGCUCAGGUCCUGUUUAGUUGCCCAAUUUUGGAGUGCCAAAAUCACUGUGUCAGCACUGUAGCAUACUGUAGCGUUUCGUUUGUAUUUGUGAAUUAUUGUCCAAACAUUGACUAAUUAGGCUCAAAAGAUUCGUCUCGCAAAGUACAACAAAACUGUGCAAUUAGUUUUUAAUUUCGUCCAUGUAUGUACCACAAAUUUGAUAUGAUGAGAAAUCUUCUUUUUACAUAGUGCCAAAGUUGAAAUUUUGGGGGACUAAACAAGGCCCAGGUCCAACAUUGAGCUAGUCCAAAUAUUAUUUUACUCGAUAAACAGGUGAAAAAGCAUUAGGCUAGCGCUUCCUUCCGCGCUGGUCUUGCACAUUUCCCGUAGCUUCACCCUCUCACUGCAUGAACUCCAAGCUGCCUUACUGCCUUACUUCUCUCUCCCGGUUUGAGCUGGCUACUAUCUUAUACCGCUGGAGCUUCCCUUAUAGUUUGCACUUGGAAUAAAAAACAUCAACAUGCAGCAGUCAUUUAUUCGAUUAUGGUUGAGCAAUAAGCUUGAGGUACACCAUAAGAAUCUUUUGCCUUGCACAAUGUGUAAGGUGUAUCACAAGAUUGCAUUUAUUGCUUAAGAUCACUUAUUUUAAGUAUAUUAUGGCAACCGUUCGUUGUUUUCUUAUUUCUAAAGGUAUGCAUCUACCUUUGUACAUGCGCCAAUGUUCUUUUGUGGCGGUUUUGAAUCAUGUUGUUUACAAAAGCGUUCGCGAAAAAUAUGUCGGUCGAAUGUUUAGCUAAGAGUAGGAUCCUAGAAAGGCAGGGAGGUGCGUCCAGUAGAACAUGUACACAUGCUUAUCUUUUCUUAAAUAAAAAAUGAUGCUUAUCUAAUCAUAAAUUUAAAGUACACAUGCUUACAUAGGAAUCCUGGAAAUUUAAAGUACCGUUUAAAACAUGUUUAAGUCUACACCGUUUAAAGCUCGUGCUGUGUGCAUCUUGCACAUAAAAAGUAUGUUCAACCUUGUGAUGUUUAGUGUAAAUUUAAAAUGAGGUACAACAACACUGAAAACGGAAUCGAUAGACAUGGUUUGAUUGGUUGAGCUAGAGAGCACGCUUUGGACUUCUCCAACACAAUGAGAUAGCUGCUAGCUCUAAGCUGGGAUGGAGAAACGAGGAACAUAUGUAGCAGGUAGCUCGGCAGUCGUGCUGUGAGAGGGAGUAGUAUCAGGAUACGUGCGAGACCGUUGCUCCAUCCCGCAUUUACAUUGUACUUUUCCAAAUAUUCGAUGAAUAUAAUAUUAAUUCAAUUAGCUCAAGGCUACCCGUGACACCCUUACAAAUAAGCAAAUAAGCAUUCAGUUGACUUCUCAAAGCAGCAGAAGCCUAGCGGCUAUGAGUUCUACACCAUCCUCUACAAAUUGUUUAAAAAAUGCAGACACCUUUUUUUUUUCUAAUAACAACUUUACCUACAUUUCAUCUCCAAUUAUGCAUGCCACUAAGCCCAUUUGGGCCAACUAACAUCAGAAGCUCCGUGCACCUCCUGGUCCAAUCUCGCAGCAAAUGACCAAAAGAAAGAACAAACCGUUCCAUACUUUUUUUAAUGGAAAAACCGUUCCAUACUUCGAUUGCCUUGCCUAGGCCUAUGAAACAAGGACUACCAACACUCUCACCUGAUCGGUUUGACCCCCGGCCUCAUCACUCAGCACUCAUCAGUGAACCAACCGAAACAAGCUGAGAAUCAUGGCCGCCGCGGCGCCACCUCCACUGCUCGCGUGCUUCGCCCUCGCCGUCCUCGCCGCCGCGGUAUGGCCGUCGCUAGGGGCGGGAGCGUCGCUGCUGGAUGACCCCGCGGGGCUCCUGCGACGGGCCAAGGAGCCGGCGUUCGCGGACUGGAUGGUCGCGGUUCGGCGGCGCAUCCACGAGAACCCAGAGCUGGGGUACGAGGAGUUCGAGACCAGCGAGCUCGUGCGCCGGGAGCUCGACGCCAUGGGGAUCCCCUACAGGCACCCGUUCGCCGUCACCGGGGUGGUGGCGACGAUCGGCACCGGCGGCCCGCCCUUCGUCGCUCUCCGGGCGGACAUGGACGCGCUACCUAUGCAGGUCCAUCACUGCUCUUCAUCUACUGUGUUUGGAUACCUCUGCUUCUUGAUUUCGCUGCGGAUCCUGGUAAAAUAAUUACUGGUUUUUCGAAGGAAUAGAGGCAAAGGUGCUGCGUAGUGCGCGUACUAUUAUGUUCUAACGGCCAUAUAACAAAAUACUUUGCUCUGGUUAUCGAAUCCGUUCCGAUCGUGAGCUUUGAUUAUAAAUCGACCUGCGUACUUGUGUUCUAGCGGUCAUAUAACAAAAUUUGACUUUAAUUAAGGGCAGAGGAACGCCGGGGAUCCAAAGAACUUUGUGCUGUACACCGCAAAACAACUAGACUUGUGCAUAGUCGAUAUGUCGAGAGCUGCUUCAGAGCGUGCUAAUCCCUAAAUUAAAACCUUUGGUAUCCCAAUCUGAAGUAUAAUAUUCUGUAUUUGUCCAUUAGUUAAAAUUGAUGUCUUAUUUUACAGGAAAGUGUGGAAUGGGAACACAAGAGCAAAGUUCCUGGAAAGAUGCAUGGAUGUGGACAUGAUGCGAAUGUUGCUAUGCUAUUGGGAUCUGCCAAGAUUCUUCAGGAGCAUCAUGACGAGUUGAAGGUUGGUUAAAAUAUUUUGCUUUGGUUAUAGCGAAACGAGAAUUCUCAUUGUACAAUGAGAAGUUCUGACAUAAUCGAUAUUUUGUCUUCAAGCUUUGAGUGAGAUCUCUGAAUUUUGAACUUAAAUUGAAUAAAUCGUAAAUAGUUAAAGUAUUGAGAUUUAGCAACAGUUGGAUGUCCGAUGAUUCUUUUCAGAAUUCCAGUGGACAUUGAUAUCUAUUUGAUUAGAUGCAUUUUUUGUCACAUUAAAUUAAUCAUCAUGGUUCCUUGGCUCAUGUUCUGCAUGUCCGGCAAUGACAACGGAGAUUUGUGUAACUAAAUACUGAGAUGGGUAGCCUUCAAAACAUAUAGAAGAUGUUAACACUUGUAUAUUGCGAUCGUUCACUUACUUCCAUUGAAUUAAGCUAGUUUCAUUGCAUAAAGCACACAACUAAUCCUGGUAGUCCACAUCAACAAAUUCCUUGUUGUUAAAUCACAGUUAUAUGAUUUGUCUUCUAAUCUUUGAAUAUUAACCAUAUAUGGUUACGAAUAUCUUGUUAAUUACUGUAGGGCACAGUAGUGCUGGUUUUCCAACCAGCCGAGGAAGGUGGCGGUGGGGCGCAGAAAAUGAUAGAAGCUGGAGCUUUGGAAAACGUAGAUGCUAUUUUUGGGGUUCAUGUAGCUGACUCUGUUCCUAUUGGUGUGCUGGCAUCCAGGCCAGGGCCUAUCAUGGCUGGGAGUGGAUGCUUUGAGGCCGUAAUAAGUGGAAAGGGAGGGCAUGCUGCACUUCCUCAUCACACUAUAGAUCCGAUCUUAGCUGCCUCUAAUGUUAUUGUGAGCCUUCAGCAACUUAUUUCGCGGGAAGCUGAUCCAUUGGACUCACAGGUACGGUCCCAUCUUUGUCCGACUUAAUUUGUUGUUGUAUGACAUAAGUUUCCAAGCAAGGAAGCAUGUUCUUGGUUCACCUUUUCUAUUUCUGUUCUCAGUUGCCAUAAUAUGAUUUACGUGUCUGCCUUUCUACUGAAGUUCUCUGCUAUACUGUUCUGUUGGUCUGUAUUACAGAACAAGAAUAGAAAUUUCAUAAAAUGAUUUUGUCAUGUGUUAGGAAAUUCAUUCAAGAUCUGGUUGAAGUUUUUCCUGAUACUUUGUCAUGGAAAGUUGGAAAGUAGUAAACUACCUAGGAGGCCAACCCUAGUUUGCCUGGAUGUAUAAUAACUGCACAGAUUGUUCCAUAUCCAUUAUGCUACAUAAUAUUCAAAACUUAAGUUUACACUCAUAAGUUUUUCAAUAUAGGCAUUUGUAGUUUCGUAUAUGAAAUUGAGUUUACACCACAAGGAUUAUACAAAGUGCUUGUUCGAUUUGUUACUCCCAGGUCCCCAUCAGUUUGUUCAGUGCACUGACUGUAGUACUUCUGCUAUGUUGAAACUUUGGAUUUUAUCCUUUUUUUACAUUCCAGCAUACAAUUGUUUCCUUGGGGUCCAUGCUUGUUCCGCAGGUUGUAACAAUUGGGAAAUUUCAAGGUGGUGGGGCCUUCAAUGUGAUCCCUGAUUCUGUAACAAUAGGUGGCACCUUCCGAGCCUUUUUGAAAGAAAGUUUUAAUCAGUUGAAGCAGCGAAUUGAACAGGUAAUUGCAUUAUGAUCUGGAAAUUUUGCGCUACUAUUUAAGGAGUCAAUUUAUCAAGUAUUUUCUGCAAAUUAGGUUCUGAAAUAAACAGGAUAAAAAGUUGCCUUAAAUAAAUACCUACUUUUUUUAUACUGGGAAUAAAUAGUACUUGAAGUUGUCUUAAAGUUACGCAUGCUGCUAAUACGGGAACCCACGUUACAUGGAUACAGGCUCAUGUGUAAUUUGUUGUUUGAGUACUCACAAAAAAAAUGCUGUUUCGCAUUUUAAUUAAAUGAAAAUUACACUUGUAGGGAUGUAGGUUUGGAGCUUUUACCUAAGUAGAUAGUUUUACUGCUCUUAGAAAACUAGUUUUCAUAGUUUUUACAGGUUGGCAGGAUAGUGGAUGGAGGUGUCUGGGUCACAAUGGUCGGAACUAGGACAUUCAUAUGUGCCAAGUUCUCAGCUAACCCCCUCUAGAGUAUCUCAACAUUUUACUAAAAGAAAAGUUCACUCUGGAUUGUCCUGCAGAGGACCCUCAACUACUCUCUCUCUCUCUUUUUUGUCCCAGGUGAUUGUGUCUCAAGCAUCCGUGCAGCGAUGCAAUGCUACUGUGGACUUCCUCACCAAUCGUAUCCCUUUCUUCCCCCCAACCAUCAACAGCCCUGAGCUCCACAGUUUCUUCGUGAAUAUGGCCGGUGAGAUGGUUGGCUCCAAGAACGUGAGGGACAGGCAGCCGCUGAUGGGUGCCGAGGACUUCGCCUUCUAUGCCGAGGUGAUCCCGUCCACCUACUACUACUUUGUAGGCAUGUACAACAAGACUCGAGGACCGCAGGCAUCCCACCACUCCACCUACUUCACCGUCAAUGAGGAUGCCCUCCCCUACGGCGCGGCUGCGCAAGCAGCGUUGGCUGCUCACUAUCUGCUCGAGCACGAGCAGCCUGCUGCUACCCCUGAUAAGGCGAAAGCCCAUGAGGAGCUGUAGAUAGAUAUCUUCCCCUUCAGCACACAGUUCUGCAUAUCUUUGUAUUAAAAUACUAGUGAACGUGCACGUGCGGCACACACGUGAUACAAAAAGGAUUGCAUACAAGACUAUGUAUAAUGUAAUAAUAAAUAGUUACUAUAUUAUUACCGAAAUUGAAACUGAAAUAACAUAUAACUAACAAUCCAAAUUCAAAUAUUUAUUUAAAAAUAAGCAAACUACAUUGAUCAAUUGACACUCCCACAUGUACGAGUAUUAUUUUCUUCGAACACCUCCGUGUCCUGAUGAUUGCCGUUAAUCAUAUGCAUGGAAUUCAUCCUCCACGUGAACGUUUUCCUAGGUUCCUUACACGGUAAGAGCGGGUGUCAACAGCUUUUUUUAUGUCAUCACAUGCACCAUCGUAAACUUGUAGCCCUUCUCUGAUUACUGCACAAUCAUGAAAUGAAAAUUAUAUAUUAGUGAAAUAUCUAUCAUUUAAAAAAUAAAUAAAUCAUGAUAUCAGCUUGCAUCGAUGAUUCCCAUGGGCAUGUUUCCUUAUAAAAAAAUAAUGGUACUAUGUGAAUAAGCCUCCAAAGAAUCUGUGGGUGUACAUAGGAGAAAAAAUCAAUUUUGUUUUAUUUAUGAAUUAAGAUAAGAUUUAAACAAUGAACUCAUACUUCUAUCCCAAUUGACAAGAACCCUAGUAGCAAUUACAAACUUAUUCUUCAUCUUUGGUUCAACGAAUUCUGCACUGUGCCCCUGUCCGUAGGUAGUUAGAACUCGGAGGAAUACAAUGCAACAGCUACACAGGAAAAGUGAUACAAUGCAUAAUCGAUUGCAUGAAGUUUAGAUAGGAAGCCCAACCUUGUGUCUUUCAAGCAAAUUUCGCGAGUACCAAAUGGACUAUAUUGUUGGUAGUCCCAAGGACCAACUGAAGCAACAACUGCAAAGACGUCUACCUCGGUACCAUGAGGUUCUGACAUAGCAUCUGCUAGAUCCACUAACGAGGCAGAUGAGAUCAUCAUCUUUGUCUUCGUUGGGCAAAGAGUAGAAUUUGAAUAUGUGGAUACAUGAUUGCAAUUAUCACGAGUUUAUAUAGAGGCUUACGCUCACACCGAGCCUUCAGAAUUGUGUUUGGAAGGAAACUAAAGUGGAAUAGCUAUAAUCUCUAUGUUCCAAUGGUUAAAUAUGACAAAGCAAAGUCAUAUUUAACCAUGCAAUUGGAUCAGGAAGGCUUUAUAUGGAAGCAAAUGCAAUCCGAUCCAUCAUUUUGUCAAUAUGGCAACCAAUUCAAAUAUUACCAAACAUUAAUGUAUGGCAACCAAUUCAUGAACCACCGCGACAUUCUUGUUUGCACCAGCAUGUGUGUUUGAAUUAGAUUCCUUACAUAUCUUGAUUAAUGAUCAAAAUGAAAUCGUGCGAUCUGAAAACAACCCUGUGAUUCCUUACAUAAUAUUUGAUUCCUUAUUAUAUAUCAAUUUGAUUUGUGUCCUAUUUAAUUUGCAAAUGAAUUUGACACACAAUUAUUUACAUGAUUGGCCUGUGAUCAUCUGAUGGGACACACAAUCAUUGCCAGCUACGAUGAUCCCGAUGUUGAUUGCGGCACGAUUGCCCUCGCUGCUAGCGUCGCCGAAAAAUGCUCCGUGCACCCCUCGGUUUGCAUCCAAUCACGAGCUUUGGUGGCCAUAUUUCCGCAUUCAUGUUGUAUUAAUUCAAACAUAACAUGCAUUUUAAUAUAAUUCAAAAAAUGGUAUUAUAAUUAUUUAUAUUUAGAGCAACCGGAAUUAAAAUUUAGUUUAUGUGAACUUGAGUUGCCGUCCAAUUUAUAUACUUGCCCUGUUUGGCAUGGCUCCAACUCUGGGUGAGCUGCUCUACUCCAGAACUCCAGGUAGAGUCAGCUCCACUCCAGAACUCCAGAAAUAAAAUUGGGUGUUUGGCUAGAUGGGUACUCUCAGCUCCAAAAAAAUCGAUUUCAGUGUUGAUUACCAUUGUUGCCCCCAAUUUAGGCCCCACUUGUCAUCCUCUCCCCCUCCUUUCUUCCUCCUUUCUUUUUCCCUCUGUCUCUCUGCCAUUGCCUAUUGGUCACCGUUGCCACGGUCGCACCUAGCUCCUCCCUCAAUCUCCUCCUCACUUCCGGCCGCCGAUCAAUGGAGAACGAGCUGCUGGCGUCGGGUGCCCACGGUGUCAGCCUCAACGACCUCUCUCCCCGCGGCCGCUGCCUUGGACCCACCGUUGCCGCCGUCCCCGCCGUUGACGGUGGCUGUCGCCCGGGGAGUCCUUCGCCUGCAACUACUGCCACCGCAGGUUCUACAGCUCGCAGGCGCUGGGCGGCCACCAGAACGCGCACAAGCUUGAGCACACCCUCGCAAAGCGCAGCCGGGACAUCCUCGCCGCCGCCGCGUCACCGUCCUUGUCCCCACCACCGACGCUGGCGCCACCGGCCAUCGUCUUCCACGCCGCGCCACCGGAACGCAACAACAACAAGGACGACGACUUCCUGCAGCAGGUGGCGCCACCGACACCGAGCGUCAUGAUGGACAUGGUAGGAUGGGGCGCUGACACGGCCGUCGCGGCUGACGGCGGCUGUGGUCGCCUCGGCCUCAGCCUCGGCCAUGGCCGGAAUGGGGACGGCGUCAACCCCCGCCCCUGCGGCGGAGGUCGUCGGCCGGGGGGCUGCGCCAUCGAGGAUGGGCACGGGAACUCGCACCCGAAGGAAGAGGAGGGGAAGGCACCCGAAGCGGCCGGCAACGGGAUGGUGCUGCCAGCGGCGGGGGUUGCGGCUGGCGGCGGGAUGGUGCGGCUGGCGGCGGGGGGUGCGGCCGGCAGUGUGGCUAGGGCGGGUGGCGGUGGGGGCGGCCGGUAGUGGAACAGGGGAGGGAGGGAGGCGCGGGAUGGGGAAAGGGGACGGGGAACAGGUCUAGGAAUAGAACAAAUGAAACGUUUUUUUCAAUAACCAGUGAUAUUGGUGGGUAAUUAUCCACCAACUCCACGAGGAGGUUCAAAAGAGUGGUUUCUGGAGCAGCAAAAGAGGUGCUCCAAAACUCCACCUCCAUUUGCACUACAGCUCCAUGGAGUUGGCAACUCCAUGGAGUUUUGGAGUUGGGGUGUUUGGCUGAAUUUUUUGAUGGAGUUGCUGGAGUUUAGGAGUGGAGUUGUGCCAAAGGUCAUCAUAUUUAUUUUUAUAUAUCUAUACUAUAAAGAGAAUUUAUUUAGCUACAUUUGGCAAUGCAAUCAUGUAUGUGUUUUGAUAAUUCUCAUGAUGCCUAUAAUAUCCACCUGCCGUAGAAAGUUACCUAAGUGGGAAGUGCACCCGCGACCGUAAUGGCGUCAACUCCUGCAAAACAACCAAAUAAUUGCAAACAUGAAAUUAAAUGGAAAUAAAUGGGAUUAAAUGGAAUAUGUAGUACCUCGUGACGGUCGGUAAGGAGGUGGGCGUGGUGGUUCACGUCGUACAUGGCCUCAAGGAGCAGGUAGGCUGGAUCCGCCAUCCAGAAACAGAAUAAUCGAAACUCAUUAGUAAUAAGCUUCUUUGCAUGAUUAGCAGAGUAACAAAGAAAAUAUACUAUGAAUAAGUAUAAGUACAAGUAAACUAAAUCUUAAAAUAUUUAACAUGCACACUACUACCUCGGCGACUACCCUCACACAAGACACCACUUUAGAAAUUACACUCUACGACCUAUGAUUUCUCUAUAUGCGUCAUUCAUAAAUUCAUCAUCUCUCCUCUCAACCAAUCAUAUUAGUAAUUAUGGAGACAUUAACUUCUCCCAAUGCAAAAAUUGGUGGUGUCUAGUGCAUAGGUUGUCCAUAGGUUCUCGUGUUGACACUGGGUCUUGCAUGAGACCCAGUUUCUUGCUCUCCCCAUGCUCUCUCAUUUAAUAUAGUGCCACGUAAGCUAAAAUUCCCAUGUGGCAAUCAAAUUAAUGCUAAGGAAACUAUUCUAGUUGGAGGGUUGGGAUUGCCUAAAGUCAGUCUUAGCACAUAUUCAAUUACCAAGAUUGGGCACUAACUAACUAUGCCUAUUGAGUAUCAUGGGGAUGAAACUUCUCUCACGUAUGAUGAAACUCCUCCUUCUUUCUCUUAUAAAUAUGUUAUCAAAUCAGCAAAAUUAGUGAUGUGCCAUAAAAAUUAAAUUAACUGAAAAGAAAGCAAAAUAUAUUCUUUUGUAGCCUCGACUACCAAAGAAUAUAUGGUUCGCACACAACAACAAAAGCACAAUAAUUAACUGAACAGACCAAGACAUGAAAAGACCACAUGAUUAGUAUGCUGAUAUGCACGUUGCUGUUGUCCUCUUCUAAUAAAAUACUAGGCAAGUCUCUCGCCGAGCGUUUGGGGGGAAAAAAAAGUAUUCGCCUUCUCACAAUUGCCUCGAUGUGCAUGGAUCGGGCAGAUCUUAUUUAGCUUUUCGAAGGCAAGCAAAUACACUCGAAUCCAUGUAGUUCAUCUGAAUAAUUCUAUUGCGCCUUGCUGGGACCGUGUGGUGUAAAACACCGUGCUGUUGUUUGAUGCUGAUGCUUCGGCAUCCCCAAGCUGCACGUUGAAGUAGGCUGGAGGUUGAGGGACAGGCAGGCUCACAUCGUUGUUGCUCAGCAUGGUGGUCACCUCCCGCAUAUGAGGCCGAUGGUCUGGAUUUUCUUGGACGCAAAGCAGAGCAAUCUGAAUGCGCCUCCUUAGUUCCAGCAUUUGAUAUACUCCACGCAAAGAAGGGUCCACAAGCUGAUUGUACCUCUCAUAGUGCCAAAUAUACCAAGCCUAUCAGAUUAGCAGGCGUAAAAUUAAUUAGUCCAAGUACAGAAUCAAGUGAAUUAUUGUUACACAGACAACCAAUACAAUACAUACAGAAUGAAGAAUCGAACUGCACAAGCUAGUACAGAGUGGGGAAAGAUCACUCACAUGAGUCAGCAGAUGAUCUGAUCUUCCAUAUUCAGUGAAUACUGCGGCAUUCACCCUCCUGCCACUUAUGAUCUCAAGAAGCAAAACACCAAAGCUAAAAACAUCAUAUUUUACAGAUAACAUCCGCUCCCGCAUGUACUCAGGUGCCAUGUAACCACUAGAAAAAACAAAUCAAGUUAAAAUGGUAUCAGCAUUAAUUAUUAACACGAAUAUAAAAUUAAGAUUUGCUUAGCUGGUUAAGCAAUUCGAACUAAUUUAAUUUGGUAAUUAGUACAAAAACAAAGUAGCUGACGGAAACUAGUCUAACCCUUUCAAGAUUCAAGCUAGGAUAUUAAAAGCUAACAGCAUAUGAAUGAAGUUGAAAGUACAAAAACAGGUCAUAAUUCUCACUAAAACUAUUUUAGUAGCACUUGUCAAUGAUUUAGUUGCACUUAAGAUAGGAGUAUAGCUGUCUUAAGUCUUGUCACAAGACCGAUGAGUGCAAUUGCAUCUAGUUUUUUUUUUUUUUUUUGCUGCAUUCGAAGUGUACAGGCCAGCUAUCAGGCUUGUACCGUGUUCCUACUACAUCUGUCGGUUCAGGUUCCACUGGUCCUAAAUCAUAUAUCCUUGCGAUCCCAAAGUCUGAAAUUUUGGGAUUCAUUUCACUGUCCAAGAGAAUGUUGCUUAGCUUCAUGUCUCUGUGAAUAAUAAAUUUUUGUGGCUCUGAAAAAUUAUGAAGAUAAACAAGUCCUUGUGCUAUCCCGUCAAUUACACGCAGACGAUUUGACCAAUUUAGUGAGUCCCUGCUUGCAGGAUCUGCAAAGAUGAUACAGCUUAUGAACAAUUUGAAAUAAACUAGCACAUUGUUUCGGGUCCGUGAACCUUUAGUUAGAUGGGGCGAAACAGACCUGAGAAGACAUAGUCCAAGCUUCUGUUUGGCAUGUAUUCAUAGACAAGUAUCAUUUCACUGUGCUGAAGACAGCAACCAAGAAGUCUAACCAGAUUGGCGUGUUGAAGCUUGACAAUAAGCUUGAUUUCAUUUAGAAACUCACUCGAACCUUGCCAAGAAGAUGCGUCAAGCCUUUUAACAGCAAUCUCAACUCCAUCGGGUAAUAUGCCCUGAAAGCAUAAUACAAACGUGCAACAGAGAAUUUGCUCAAAUUAAACCCAAUUUUGCACUUCACAGGUAUGUAGCCAGCGGUUCUUGUAGUGCUGUUGUAAGACUGGUGGUGUAUUUAUUAGGAAUCCUUUAAAUUUACAUGAAUAGUUUGAUGUUUAUUUGUUCAUACAUAUUUCUUUGAUAAAUCUAAAAUAUAUACAAAAACUACAAACCUGAACAAUAGAACGUGUAUUCCUUUAUAUAUGAACUAAUGAUGCGGUGCAUAUGAAUUUAUGUCAAGUUCCUCAGAAAAUAAAUACUAAUUGAGAACAAACUUACUCGGUAAACAAAACCAAAAGAGCCACGCCCAAGUUUAUUUUCUUCGGAGAAAUUUCCUGUUGCAUCUCUUACUACGGGGAAAUGGUAAAGUGAAAACCUCGAGUCAAUUUCUCGUGUGACUUCAUUGUGCCAGUCACCUAACUCUCUCUGUAAUUUGCGAUCUGCAGUUGUGUAAACAAAAGAAAAUGAAAAAUUAGGCUUAAAUACCAUGAUAAUGCAUCUUCUGAGAUAAACUCUUGGUACCUCUUAUUCUUUGUAUGAUCCCUCCAAUCAGGUUUAGGCAAAGAACUAAAAUAACGAACCCAGCAAUGGUAAUUAAUGUGAUAUUCACUUUGCUUAGUCGACCUGAAAGACACUCAUAACAAACUUUUGAAGGUUAGUAGUCUGACAAAGGUUGCCAUUUUACAUGUAUGGAUGGUUAUUAACUUAUUAUGAAUUUUGAAGGGAUGGAGAGGGAGAUGACGAUGAAGAGGUAGAGCAAGAGCCAUUCGUGACUAUGAAUAUUGGUACUCUCGUCUAUAAACUUGUCGGAUUUAAAUUAGUUUGGCUUAGGACAAACCUAGAAUGAUAUAUUUUUUGGAGUGGAGAGAAUAGAUAGCAUGUUUUGAUAUUGGUGGCAUUGAAAUUGGCAUGCUUUCAAUAAGUAGGUUAAUUUAUAUAAAUAAAAUCAAGAUAAAUGUGUUUAAUAUACCAAAAAUAGGUAAAAAUAGCAUUAGUGAAACCUAAACGUAUAGUACUCACUUUUAGGCAUGUGGAGCUUGCUGGUUUCGUUGGUCUCCUUGAAGAAGAGAUCUUUCUCAAACCGCAGGUUACAUCGAACGCCAAGAAUCCUCCCGCCCACACGGUGAUCUCCACUAUUAGUAGUAAACUGCUUGGGUAUACUCGAGAUGAGCUCGGCGAGGCACUGACGGCAAAGCUCCCUCUUGAGGUCAGGCCUACACUGCACCAGCCCGUACACCAUGCUCACCCCUCCUUCUCCGAACCAGGACUCCCCCGUCGCGUACAGGUCCGACGAGUUGAACGCCGCGUAGUCGGCGGUCCCGUUGAGCAGCUCCUCGACGCGUUCGCCGUAAGACACGCCAUCACUAGUGGCGGUGCCGUUCUUCACGUAGUUCAUGUUGGAGGCGACCCAUGCUGGCCUGUCGUCCUUGUAGAUCAGGUACUGGUCGCCGGAGAAGCUGAGCAUGUGCUGGUCGGAGUAGAUGGUGACGUCCUUGUAGAAUGGGCAGAUGAAUGGAUUUAAGACGGCGUCCUGGAUGGUCUGGUUGAGGCUGUUGGCGCACUGGGGGCCCUUGUAGUCCCCGCGGCAAAGCACGAAGCCGUAAACUGAGCCGACAUUGGCGAAGGCGAAGAAGUUGCUGUCCGAAGCGCUGAUAUUUGACCUGAGCUUGCCGGCAAGAAUCCCGAGGUCGUUGUGGUAGCUGUCGCUGCGAUUGUACUUCGAACAGCCGCAGUCGUAGUACAGCGGGUUCACCCUCGUCGUCAUUUCCUCGAGCCUGUCGCAUUCAGAUGCUACUGCCGUGGUUGAGAGGGGCAGCGCCGUGACGAUGACCAGGAGGAGGGUGGGCUGCAAGUGGUGAGGAGCAUUUAUAGAGCUUUGCUGGACCUUACUUUCACCUUAAGUUAAUCCUACGGAAUUUUUCAGAAAGAAAUAUUUAAGAUGAACUUACUCGGGAAACAAGACUAAAAGAGCCGUGUCCAAGUCUGUUAUCUUCUUGGAAAUUGGCUUUGGUAACUCUAAAUAUGGGGGAUUGACAAAGUGAAAACCUGGACACAAUUGUUCGUGUGACUUCGUUGUGCCAGUCACCUAGUUCUCUCUGUAGCUUGCCACCUGCAGUUAUUCGAACACAAGAUAAGGAGAAAAGUAAGCUUGGGGUGUUUGGAUGCGGGUAUUAAACUUUAGGAGGGGUCACAUCGGAUGUUCGGACGCUAAUUAGGAGGAGUGAACAUGAGCUAAUUAUAAAACUAACUGCAGAACUCCUAUACUAAUUCGCGAGAUGAAUCUAUUAAGCCUAUUUAAUCCAUCAUUAGCAAAUGGUUACUGUAGCACCACAUUGUCAAAUCAUGGACUAAUUAGGCUUAAUAGAUUUGUCUCGCGAAUUAGACUCCAUCUGUGUAAUUAGUUUUGUAAUUGGACUAUAUUUAAUACUCCUAAUUAGUGUCCAAACAUCCGAUGUGACAUGUACUAAAUUUUUAUGAAACUGUAUCCAAACAGGUCCAAAUGUAUCAAGUUAUUAAUGCUUCUGCUAAUAAGUCAAACGCUGUCUACCUCUUAUUCUUUGUAUGACACCUCCAGUCAGAACUAGGCAGAGAAUGAAAACAAUGGACCCAGUAAUUAAUGCGAUAGCCACUGUGCUCAAUAUUUUACCUGAAGAUACACAGGAUAACAAGUGUUGUAAGGACCUGUUUGGAAACAGGACUAAAGUUUAAUCCCUAUCAAAUCGAAUGUUUAGACACUAAUUAGAAAUAUUAAAUAUAAGUUAAUUACAAAACUAAUUGCAUAAAUGAAGGCUAAUUCGUGAGACGAAUCUAUUAAACCUAAUUAGUCCAUGAUUUAAUCAUGUGAUGCUACAGUAAAUAUGUGCUAAUCAUGGAUUAAUUAGGCUUAAUAGAUUUAUCUCGCGAAUUAGCCACGGUUUAUGUAAUUAGUUUUAUAAUUAAUUCACGUUUAGUCCUUCUAUUUGGUAUCCAAACGUCCGAUUUGACCCAAACUAAAAAUUAGUCCAUGGAUCCAAACACCCCCUAGUAUGCCCAAAGUGACAAUUUAUAUAAUAUAUAUGCAUGCAUAAAUGGCUAUGAAGUUGUCAAUCACAUACAUGUUGUAAAACCUGAAAUGAACUAAAUUAAGAAUGUAUGGAGGAGCAAAUGACUCCAUAAUCAAUCAAGACAGUAUUUUCUCUGUUCCAAAUUGUAGGUCGUUUUGACUUUUCUAGGUGUAUAGAUAUCUAUAAACCUAGAAAAAGUUAAAACGACCAACAAUUUGGAAUGGAGGGAGUAUUAAGUAGCUAGGUCCGUCUUAUUUAUUGAUCUCAAUGGUGGAACAUUUUCCUCGGACUCUUUUUUUUCUUGUUCCUAUCCUAACCUGUUCAGCCAAAAUGACCACAUAUGACAAUAGCCGGUUUCAUAGAGAUGCAGUAUUUUUCUUUUCUUUUUUUCAGUCCAAACGUGUCCCCAGUCUGUGUCCAAAGUUUCUUUGCCAUUUCCUGUUAUACUGGUGGUCACCACCACUAUUCUAGGAGGGAGCUCCUUAUCCAAAAUACAGUAGUAGUGUAUAGUACCUGUUGGCAUCCCAGUGGAAUUGUGGAAUGGGAUACUAGCUAGAUAGGUAGAAAAGAGGGAUAAGCUAUCAUGAGAUAAGCAACAAUUCAGGCUACUUAAUAUUAUCCAUUUCUUUGGAUGGAAUUAGAUGUAUUUCUAAGAUAAGAAAACAUAUUAUUUUUAUUUUCCUUGCAAAAAAUAAUUCUUUUUAUUUCAUAACAGAGGGGAACGACAAAACAGCAAAGGUGAAUAAAUAUAUUUGGUGUGCCCCCUCCUCUCUUCCAUAUUACAUAAUCCAAUUUUCAGUUCCUAAUUAAAACUAAACCUAAUGGGGGAAAACAGGCCUAGAGACUGAUUUCCGCCCACACCUAAGAAUUCUAGUUAGUUGGUUGCUCCCUGUGCUGGAGUCUGGGACAAGCUUGGGCAACAAGUUGUACGCUGAAGUACCUCUAAUUAUUUUCUCACGUGAAAAUAACCGACGGUCCAACCAAUGCCCUUUUAUGCUGCCAAUAAGAGAGACUCUAAUUAAGGCUAGAUCUGGUCAUAUCCAUUAUUGGCCCGAAAAUUUUGUUCAGUUCUUCAUGCUGUCAUGCAUGCUCUCAAGUCUACUGCAAACCGGAAAUAAAUUUGAUGAAAGGGAUAUGGGGACGAUGUUGUUGGCUAACACCAAACCGGAGCUCAAUAUGUGCACACUUGUUCAAUAUCCCAAGCUCUCCACAAUCUCCCGUUCCACCUUAAAAGAAUUUCUUGUGAUAGUAUAGAUUUUCUUUCCCAAGCAACUGUGUCAAAAGCUACGUACCUAGAAAAAUCAAAAUAAAUAGUAAUUUGGGAUGAAGGGAAUACAUAUAGUGAUACAGACCAUACCUUUGGGCAAAUCAAUUUGGAGUGUGCCAUAGUUCUCCCUGAAGAUCAGUUCUUUCUCGUACCGCAGGUUACACCUGGGCCCGAGAAUCCUCCCGCCAACACGGCCACAAUCCCCUCGGCAGCUGUAGCAUAGCAAGUUCACCUCCGCCGUCACGCCGUCGUCGUCAUUGCCGGCUGUUGGCGUCGAUGACGAGAGGAGCACGGCCGUAAGGAAGACGAGGAGGGACUGGAUGCGCAUGGUGGGUGGAAGGUGUAUCAGCUACGAAGAAAGUAGUGUAUAUAUAGCUACGUGUGUGUGUGUGUACAGUAGAGCUUUGCGUAUUCAUCUUGAGAAAAUAUUAGUUGCAAUGUGCCGAUUUUUUAACCUUUGAAAUUAUGACGUCAACUUAUGACCACAUGCUUAUACCGAUGCCGUGUGUGGGAGGGGGAAUGAAUUAGUUAGUUCACUAGAUGUGACAUUAGUUAGUUCCCAGUUCCCACGAGUUUCCGAUUUGAUCCGGAUAAUUUUCAUGCAAUCCAGCAACGACGAUGACUUGCAGGAACUUUCUGCUCAUGUUCUCAAAAAGUCAGCUGGGAGAAGGAAUCGAACCCUCCCUGGAUUAGCAUUAGUUUACUUCACGGUUAAGUAUACAUGGUGUUCAAAAUGUUCUAAAAAAGGCAUGGUGACAGGAGGUUAAGAUCAAACAAGCUUCCUACUACUUCGUUUCAAAAAAACAAGCUUCCUACUACUGAUUUACUUAUUAGGUCAACCGUUUCUUUUUCAUGGGAUUGUUUAUACAGUUGAGUGUAGGUGAUGGCAGCAAGCGAAUCUACACGGUAAAAUUGAAAUAUCAAGAUCUCUAUGAUCCAUUGACUGGGAUUGGGGCUCAUCCUUACGAUAUAGGAAGAGAGAACUUUGUAGUUUUCAAGUGGCAGAUCUCCCCAUUAACUUCAAAUUAUCUAUUUUUGCCAUUGUUAGUAUUGAGAAUACUAACUUUGAUUCAAUACUUUGAUGGUUAAUUUCUCUCCAACGUUACACUCUAAUAGUUUAUUUCUCUUAAACCAUAUUACUCAAGACAAUAAAAUCAUGGUCAUAUAUAUGAAAGGUAUUUCGAAAUAUGAUUCUGGUAGUGCCAAUUCUAUCCACAAUGUCUGCAUAUAAAUUUUAAUAGCCUAGAGAGACACGACGCACCAAAUAACUGAUUGUCCACCCUUGUCAUUGAGUUUCGAAUUUUUACCCUGUCGAUCUAUAUCAACGUGAGAACACAUCGCUAGUUGCUGCAUACGUCCACAUUAAGUACAGCAAGAGAAACGUGCAUGCUUGCCUGCAUCUCUGAAAUCAUAGUCAGUCAUAACGGCAAAAUCCUUCUAGACUAGAUGGCUUUUCUUGACUUAUUACACCUUAUCAAGCCUUGGAGGAACUUCUCGGAAAGUAGGUCAGCUACUUACGCUCAGCUGUGGUAGGCAACGUGCUCGUUGACAGCGAGGCGUCAGUGGUGAUUUCGUCAAUCUCGAGGAUUACCCGGCUCAAUCUUUUGGAUGUGCUCGUAAGGGUAGGGUUGUGUGUGUAUAUUCGUAGGGGCGAGUAUGCGUACGUUAUCGAAAAUCGAUGGGUCCUUAUAAAAUAUGGAAUCGAACAAAACCAUAGUUGAUUGUUCACUUACAGCAACAUGUUACAUGCACGAUUCUGGUGAUGAUGAGAGCCUAAUAGAGAUGCAAAGACUGCAUAUUUUGCGAACUUGCGUGUAUGUGGUGGGUUAGGUUCUCUGCGGUACAACUUGCCAAUGUCGCUCAGCACAAGUGUUUGCAUUUCAGCUAAGCCCUUGUUUACUUGGCAAAUUUGGGAGGUGCCAAAUUACUGUUACAGCACUGUAGCACACUGUAGCGUUUCGUUUGUAUUUGUGAAUUAUUAUCCAAAUAUUGACUAAUUAGGCUUAAAAGAUUCGUCUCGCAAAGUACAACAAAACUGUGCAAUUAGUUUUUAAUUUUGUCUACAUUUAGUACUCCAUGCAUGUACCGCAAGUUUGAUGUGAUGGGGAAUCUUCUUUUUGCAUAGUGUCAAAGUUGGGAGUUGGGGGUGAAGUAAACAAGGGGAUGGUUCAUCACUGCUGCAAAGAGUUCAUUGUCAUGGAUAAAACUGAAGUAAUCAAAACGCACACAUUUAAGCAACAUGAAAUCUUAUGUAUACCCGCUAUUGUUGCAAGACAUGUAACCAUUGCUUAUUUGGUUGUUUAACAUCGUAAUUUACUUAGCAAAGUGUCAUGUAUUGCAAAAAGCGGGGAAAUAAAUGAUGAGCUUCUGCGUGAUGAAGGUUUGGCCAAAAAAAGGGAAAGAAAAAGAAAGAAAGAGGGAGUAUCUAUACAUGUUGCCAUGUCGGCCAUAGGGUAGAGUCUCUAGCAAUGAGAUAAGAGCUUGACAGAAUAAAUUGUCAACGCGUACGGUAAACGGGCUGUAAGGUUGGAGUGUUGCAGGACACUUCCACAACAAUGUAUGCGCAUGAUUGGCUUCUACUCCCUCUAUUUCUUCCUAUAGUGCAAAUUGCAAUUUUAGAGGAGUAAAACUUCAUGAAUUUUGACUAACAAUUAGUCAAAUUACAUGGUUGAGCAAUGUAUAAAAAGUUACAGCAGUAGAUUCAUCAUAAUUCACAAAUCUUCUAAUAUGACAUUGAUUUUGUAGCAGUUGAUCAUAUACUUUGAACAAUUGAUGGUCAAAGUACACUAAUAUUAGAUUUUUUCUAACCCAAUAUGUCUUGUUAAAAAAAUGGAGUACGUAACAAAUGCUAAGCAUUCCAGCCUUUGAAUCAAAACCAAGCACGCCCACAUGUUGUCUCCUGCUCACUGAAACGUGAACACGGGGUUAACACUUUCACUUGAGAUUGCAUCCUUUUGUUCCACGUUUUAUGAGAUGCCAAAAGGCCACAACCUGCCCGCACAUGACACUCCAAAACACUUGAAUAACAAUCACAUUUGGUUACUUACAAUUUGCAAUCCUUCACAAAUAGGCAUUGCAUUCAGAAACGAGCCGCUGGAGCACGAGCCAGCUGACAGCUUGAGACGCGAUAUUAUGUGGAAAAUACUAAAGCAGAAUCUCAAAGCACAAUAAGAACACAUUAGAACCUGUACAGAGCCUAAAACAUAGCCAAGAUGCCUUUUUAAGGCAAAAGCUGCUCAAGAAAACAGACAGCCCUUUAUUUUGCCAAUCAUUGCUUUGGAUCAGCAUGCUGCCUUGCUGCUCCAGCAUGUAGCUUGUAGAUCACACAGGGCAUGAGACUAAAGGUAGCUCGGACACUACCUUGCACUUCAUCUGGACUUCAAGAGAUCAUAUAGAUACUAGUAGUGGAUCCUAUCAUUGGCAUCGAAAUUUAGACCUUGGAUGCCCCUUAAAGUGGACUCGUAGUUCUUGGAGUUGGGCAUGAGCCUGCCAGACGAUGAAAGCCUGGGGUCCGAGUACUCCAGUGUUUGCGAGGUCCUACGUGGGGGAGCAUUUCUUUGGAAAGUCCCUGGGCUUGUAUCUGGUGUACGGCUGUGUGUUUCAGCUUCACCGGUUGGAACUCGGCUACUAGAAACAGCAGGACGCCUCAAGGAUCCGCUUGACCGACCCAAAAAAGUCGAACUGGGGAACUAUAAGUCAUUUGAGGGUCAGAAAUUACACAGAAAAAUCUCAGGCACCUAAAUAAGAAGAUGCCACAUCAGCAAUUCAAGAUAACGAAAAAUUAAAUAAAAACUCACCACAGCAUCUUUUGAUGAGGACUGUUCUUGUCUAAUUGGAGAUUUCUGUUUUGACAAGCUGACUACAUUUAUUCCUGCAGGUGGAACCUGACGCCGCAAAGGAUCAGCUGACCACCCACUUCUCCUUCCCUCUUCAGUGGCUAAAUUAAUUCAGGAGACAGUUAGCCCUAAGCAGAUCUAACCAACUAUUUUUUUGUUGAAUGUGCAGGAGGGCUAUGUGUCGUUUCAUUAAAGAAGAGAAUAAGUUACAGUUCCAAUAGCAUCCCAUUUAAAUAAUGCAAAUCCAUCAGAGAUACAUGAUAUUUAAUAGUAACCAAACAGAAGAAUGCCUUUGAAAAUUCAUCUGCAUCAAGAUGUUUGGCAUGAACUAACAGUUUUUUUGGGCAAAAGUAGGUUAUGCAAUUAGCAUAUAGAGCAAAUAUGGUUGUACUUCUAAUUGGUGUUACUGUUACAUAUUUCUAAUUGUGCAGGUAUUGUUAUCAUGUAGAACAAAUAUUUCAUGUAUUUAUAAUCAAACGGAACACAAGACAUUGCUUGCUACCAACAUGGCAACAUAUCCCACAAUGUUUCCUAUAAUUUUGUUUACAACCAAUUGGUGUUGCAGCUCAUUUUGCAUGAAAUAUCAAAUCCUAAGUAUCCAUAAAUUAUACAUGCAUACAGUUAUCGGUGAUAGAAGUGAUGGAAUAAGAAAUUAUUGUUACAUCAAUCACAACACAGGCGCACCUGACAGUCUAUUAUUUGCCAUAGGAGCCAUCCCAGAGCUUUGACCUGCUGCUGCAGCCUACAAGAACAGAACGAUGUCAUAAGGAUAUUAACCCGUGGUUGUAAACAAGGGCAGAAAGAAAGCACCAUGGAUUGUACCAACCAUAGCACGCGGUGGAACAGCCAUUUGCGAUUGCUGAUACUUAAGAAUGGUCCAGUCAAAAACAUAAUCAAACUGAAAUCCUACAGGUAGAAUAAAUUCCCUCUUAGAAGGGUCUCCAAUGGAGAAUUUCCUGAGCAUGCUGGAAAACAGUAGCUAUCAAGUUAUAAACAGAAAACCAACCCUCUCGAAUAAAAAGGUCUCUGAAUAAUCUCUUCAGGUAUUGAUAGUCAGGCGUAUCUUCGAAACGUAAUGAGCGGCAGUAAUGGAAGUAGGAUACAAAUUCAGUAGGGUAUCCACGACAUAGAGCCUGAAAUUAAUAAAAAUCAUAAUAAGCACUGGUUCCUAGAUAAUCUUGAUUAAAUUUUCAGCAAAGAAAAUGCACCUCAACUGAAGUAGCAAUCUUCCUUUCACUAAUUUUCUCGUACUUUUGUUUCUUGGUCCCAGCUUUUAGACCCUGCCAUGGAAGGCUGGAACAAUAAGGGCAAUUGUUAGUACACAACAGGUUACAAGAGGCAGAAAUAGAAUAACAACACAGGAGCACCCAUAAGACCAACCUUCCUUUUAAGAAGUACAUGAGUACAUAUCCCAAAGAUUCCAAGUCAUCCCUCCUACUUUGUUCUAUUGGAAAAGCAGAAGAAACAAAGUUACUAUUUUGUGAAUAUACGCACAGCAGGAUAUUGAAAAAAGAAAUCCAAAACUUAACUUGAAAUGUUAACUUACCAAUUCCAAGAUGCGUGUUUACACUUGCGUAACGUGCUGUCCCAGUCAAAUUUUUGUUCUCUCUGUACUUCAGAAGAUAAAUGUCAUAGAUCAUCUUAGGCAGGGCAAAUAGUAUGCUUAACUAAGUCUUGGUAAUUCAUAUCUAUCCAUCUAUUGACAAGAUCUAAUAUACAUUAAACAUCAGGAAGUACAACACUAAAAUCAUGAUGCAGAUGAAAAAUAAAGAAAGGUUCACUGUCAACAUCAGAGUCACAGAUUGAUGAACUGCGACAUAUUACCUGUAUGGAAUGUGCUGGUGUGUUGCACUGUCCCUGUAUUUCUUUGCCAGUCCAAAAUCAAUCAUGUAUACCUGUAGGAGAAUAGAGAGAAUGUGAAAAUCCCAACUACCUAAGGGAAGACGAUCAAAACUAUAGGUACAUAAACUAAGCCUACAUAAGUGAAUGCCUCAGUGCUAAAGGACUUGCCUGAUUUGCUCUCUUUCCGAGGCCCAUGAGAAAAUUGUCUGGCUUAAUAUCUCGGUGCAAGAAGGACUUAAUAUGAACAUACUCGACCCGGUUAAUCUACAAAAAGUUUGAAGUUAAAAACUCUGACAUAGACUAAAUCCGCUAGGAUUAUAUUGUAUAACAAUGGAGGUUAUGCUUGCAAAUAUAACCUACCAUCUGAUCGGCAAGCAUCAAAACAGUCUUCAGGGACAGUUUUCUGUUGCAAAAGCUGAAAAGGUCUUCAAGGCUUGGCCCCAAGAGGUCCAUAACGAGAACAUUGUAGUCACCUUCAACACCAAACCACUUGACGUUUGGAAUUCCAGCUGCAAGAGAAAACAGAAUGUAAGUUACAACCUGAACAAAAUAAAUAAAUAAAUGCAGGACAACCAACUAAAAGGAACAUGAUUACUUCCGCCCUGCAGUAUCCUAUACAGCUUUGACUCAUACAGCAACUGAGGAUGUUUUGUCUUCACACUUUCCUGGACAAAACACAAAGAGAAAGGUCUUGUCAGUAAGUACAGUCCAAACCCUGCAGUUGAUUAAAGUGAUAAUCAAGAGAAGUAGACUGAAUGAGACAUUAUAACGAUUCCUACACAAAUAAUCAUUUUGCAAAGCAUAACAUAGUGAAGUGGGUUCCAUUUAGGACAGAAUCAAACAAGUUGAUCAUUUUCAAAUAGGAACCAAACAUGCUGUUUCUUUUUAUUUUCUUAAAGAAAAAGAAGGGGACUACAUUGAUGCUUAUGAUUAUGAGAUUUAUCAGAAGGGUCUGGCUGCACCUUCUUUCACAUGAAAUCUAUCUAUGAAGUUUAACUCUAUGGAACUAACAUGAAUACAGUUUACUAAAUACUCCAAGGUUGCUAUGAAAGUGAGUUAUAGGCAGCAUUAGAUUGACAAAACAUACAUAUGAAACCACAGAUAAGCUUUUGCUAUCAAUACCCUAAUAUUACAUAAUUCAGCAAGUUAAAACUCCACACCAAGUUUAGUACAUUUUCCUAGAGACGGGAUAUACAAUCAGUUAACAACCCUGAAUCGAAACUGCGCGCAUCAGAAGAAAGUAUCUUAACUGACCAAUGUAUAACGGAACAGAACGAAGGGACUCGGGGACCAUUGAAAUAGAUUAUCGCUUUGCGUGAACUCACCAGCUUAAUCGCGACCUCCUCGUUGGUCUGCACGUGGGUACCUGCAGCAACACCGCCAGACAAACCAACCGUCCAUUAGAACCAUGGGUAAAGAAAGAUAAAAGGCGAGAGCUUUCGCAUCGGGACGUAACAUUUAAGCGGGGGAGCCGGCGGCACGAACCGAGGUAGAUCUCCCCGAAGGAGCCGCUCCCAAGCUUGCGCCCGAGGCGGAACUUGUUGGCCACGCGCGGCUCCAUCGGCGGCGCGUCCCCGCCCGCCGGCCGAACUCUGCCGCCCCUAGGCCGCGCGGGUCGGGGGCAUCCGGAUACGGGGCGAAUUGAGGGAGUGCGGGGGCUGGGGAUUUGGGAGCUGCUAGGGUUUGGGAGGAGGAUCGGAGUGCGGCGGAAAUUGGGGAUUUUUGUUUGCUUUGUGGGGGCGGUGGUGCUUUGUUUCCGCGAGCGAGCAGGAGCAGAGCCGCACCACCCGGGCAGGCCGGCACCCACCUCACCUCAUCGGCUUGCCUCGCGAAGGGAAUUGGUGGAAAGUGGAGGGGUUGCAGUGGGAAAGUAACGUCCCCAUCCUCCCAAGUUGAGAGCUCAAGCAUCGUGGCGGUUGCAGUUCCGCGGUUUACUUCUUGGUGGCUACUUUUUUUCGUUUUUAGUGUAUACUUCUUCAUUUUUUUUUGGAGUCGCAUGCAAUCUAUACCUACUUUAUUAUACUGUAUGUAAACAUCGCCUCCACUCCACGUACAUACUCAAAAUGAGGCAAGUACGAGCCGUCCCAGAGAACAGGAACCAUAUGCUUAAUAAAUAUCUAUGGCCCCGCGUACCAUGCUUGUACUGAAUAUGUGAUAUGCUCCUGUGUCCCUAUCCAUUGACACACCCUCGUACCUUCACCCUGCUGUAGAUACUAGACCAAUUGCAUCCCAUCUACUCAAUCCAUACCACGUGAGGGAAAAGGGUACUCUGUAGGUCCCCACCGAUCGGGAUACUAGUUAGUCCUGACAAAUGAACUCAUCCGAUCAAAACGUGCGGCCCAAGGACAUGAAAAUACUUGGAUUACACGUCAAGGAGGCCGGCCGACUCAAAUUAGCCCGGAUAUUACGGGACACGUAUUGUAGUCUGACUCAGAUUACCUUCCAUGUAACUACCAAGUAGAUUAGAUUCAAACCGACUUGUAAUCCUAGGUCGUCAGCCUAUAUGGCGGCCACGGGAACCUCCCGAGGGUAAUCCAAUCCAAUCUGUAAACCACGCACCAGCGCAAAGCAAUACAAGCCACCAGCAUACAUGACGUAAGGUAUUACUCUCCGGAGGUCCGAACCUGUCUAAAACUCAUGUGUUCUUCGUGUUCUCGUUAUCACCUUCGAGUUCUUGGUCUCGCGAUCCUCUUUGCCUACAAAUCAACCAAUUGGGUAACUCCCUAUGGACUGUCGGGCUACUAAAUCCAACAGUUGGUGCUCCAGGUAGGGGAAUACCUGCAUGUCUACAUACGGCCAACAAAAUCAAACUAUAGGGAGAAUAAGUGAACAGGGAAUACUCUUUCUUCUAUUUUCCUCUAUCCCAUCUCAAGUGUUAUUUUAUUUGUUUGAUGAGCAAAAGUUUAUUCUAAUAUCUCUUUUUUCUACAACAUCAUACAUGCGUGGUCGUCCAUAAGGCCGACUUGUCGAGCACCGAACAACGGAUUGCGCAUGCUCGGUGCGCUCGGAGACGGCAUCCAUGAGACGGCCAACAACGUCGUACAACCAAGGCAGUCCGACCUGCUGCCCUAUAGCCGGCAUCGUUGACACACCACCUACCUUUUUUGAUGCCUCGAUCCCGGUGUACAAGUUGGGGACGAGCCUCGGACGAUCGACAGCCGACCACAACGCCCAAGAUGAUACCCACGAGCCUAAUCACGAGGACGGUACACGACCCUUCGACUCGGCCACGAAUCAAGUUAAGUCUUAUUUACAAUUAAAUAGUUUAUAGCUUUCGUAUACCUACAUAUACCUCAGCUCUCCGAUGUCCCCGUGACUUUUGCCGACCGCCUCGGUUCUCCCAUGUUUCCGUAACUUUCACCGACUGUUUAUAUAGCUUGGUCCGUCCACUACAUGAGCGGUUGGGGGCUACACCCCAUAGGUGCCUAGCUCAUGCUGGUGCUUUUCCGUACAGUUCCGACUGCUUUGCGGCUUGUCCGUCCCUCUUAAUGGUUGCUAAAGUAUUCGGGUAGCACACGCCUUAAUCCGUGAAAUCUUGACUCAUCCUGCGCGCCUCCUAUGCGAGCAUCGAGUCAGCCCCAGCGCUAUAGCCUGAGAUAAGCCAUCCUCUCCAUGAGCAGUGAUUAGUAGGGCUACGUGCUUAAACGUAACAGGCUAACUACGUGGGGAAAUUAAACGACCUACGAGAGCAGGACGUGCAUGAAUUUACUAUUACUGCGAAUUAAACUUCCGAGUUGUUCAAUUAUUAAAUGAUCUACAUUAUGCUACAUAAUGUCUGUAUUGUCCUUUUACAGCUCAAAAACUAUUCGGCGUGCCUCCUGUCGCCCGGUCGAUGUCUCUUGCUUGGGGCGGGAGGCGACUUGGCGUGCUUCUGUGGCUCGACCAGCUCCCAGGCUUGGGGGCUAGGCGCCACAGACGAUUCGGCAUGUCUCCCGCCCGACCGACCUCUCUGGCUCAGGGCGAGAGGCGACUCUACGUGCUUCCGUGACUCGUCCAGCUCCCAAGCUCGGGGGCUGAACGCCGCAGACGACUCGGCUUGCCUCCUGUCGCCCGGCCGAUCUUUCUAGCUCGAGGCGGGAUGCGACACGGCAUGCCUUCGUGGCUUAGCCAGUCCUCGUGCUCACGCUCAGGGGUUGGACGCUCCUUCAGUUCGGCGUGCCUCCGUGGCUCAGCCAAUCCUCGCACUCACGCUUGGGGGCUGGACACUUACUUUAGGUUGGCGUACCUCCGUGGCUCCGCCAGUCCUCACACUCCUGCUCAAGGGCUGGGCACCUACUUCAGGUCGGUGUGCCUUCGCGGCUCCACCAGUCCUUGUUCUUGGGGGCUGGAUGCCUACUUCAGGUCAGCGUGCCUCGUGGCUCCGCCUAUCCUUAUGCUCAGGCACUAGGACAUGCUUCUAGGAUCAAUUUUUUCUUCUUUUUAACCAUUGGACUGAUUAUACAAAUUGCUUCAAUGCUGGGGACUACUCCAUAUGCAGUGUGUCUUGCGAAGCCCUCCAUAUUCUUCGCUUCGACUUACUGGAUGUCCGCCAUCCAUCAAUUUGGCAAUCGACUUUGCUUUGCACAGAUGGCUCUGCGUUUGUUCGGAUUUUCUUCUUUUUUGAGCACUGUGCAGCCUCUCCGUCACCAUGAUGCCAUCGCAGCUUCAGCUGACUACAUUCCGAGCUUCGCUGUGAUGACCUGAAGUUUCUGUUUACCCACACAUCGCUCGGGGGCUUAAGGGAUAUAGGUACCCCAUGGGUCCCCACCGAACAGAAUACUGGCCAGUCCUGACAAGUGGACCUGCCUGACCAGAACGUGCAGACUGAGGACAUGAACAUACUUGGAGUACACGUCAAGGAGACCGAGCGACUCAAAUUAGCCCGGAUAUGGCGGGACACGUAUUGUAGUGUGACUCAGAUUAUCUUCCAUGUAACUAUCAAGUAGAUUAGAUUCAAACCGACUUAUAACUCUAGGUUGUCAGCAUAUAUAAGGCGGCCAAGGGAACCUCCCAAGGGUAAUCCAAUCCAAUCUGUAAACCACGCACCAGCGCAAAGCAAUACAAGCCACCAGCAUACAGGACGUAGGGUAUUAGUCUCCAGAGGCUCGAGCUUAUCUAAAAUCCCUGUGUCCUUCGUGUUCUCGCGAUCACCUUCAAAUUCUUGGUCUCAUGAUUCUCCCUACCUACAAAUCAACCAUUUAGACUAUCAGGAUACCAAAUCUGACAAACUCAUACAGAGUAUCUCAUAAGCCCUAAGCAUGUGCCAUGUGGAAAGAGGGUGAGAGAGUCGGAUGACCAUUAUUUCAAAGGAUGCCACUACUAAAUGGCUAGCAGAACGGCCGAUGGGCCGAAGAAAGCUGCUCCUUUGUGGGCUCAAGCCCAAGCUUUAAUUUUUCACCUCCUUAACUUGGAAAGCUCGAGCUAAAAGCCCAAGCUCAGCGUACCACAUUCUUCGUUCCCUUUUUUUUUAUUUGUCGUCUCUCUCACUCCCUUGUCGUGAUCUCAAUCUCUCCCACCGCACCGACCAGAGCAUGGGCUGAGCACGAUUGAAAGAUUUAGAAACAACAGAGCAUAAGAUUCAAAUUCGGCCCAAGAAUUAAACUGAAGAACAUGAGACUGCAACAUUUCCAUCAGAAGAAACCUUAGCUUAAUAAAAAUACUUAUGUACGAGAUAUGAGAUCUUUUCAUUUGAAAACGAUAUAGACACAGCCGCACAUGCACUUACUUAUGAAAUUAUCAUAAGUGCAUCGCUAUAGAAGGACAAACAUCAUCUUUUUUUUCCCCAGAGACUGAGAUUCAAUCCCAUUUCCAUUUCACAGAACAGAAAGUGUUUUGUAUACAUCACCUUGAAACAGACAGACAGGACCGGGAAAGGGAAGAGAUUAACUUAAUCUACGGGUCUCUAACCUGAUUCGAAGUAGAUACCGCAGAAACAUAGGACAUAUGUGUCUCCCAGAUUCCAGGAGAGAAGGUCCCACAUACAUCAUGCAGACUUCUACAACCAAACCGUCCAAAAGGAAGAAAAUAACUACUCACUGCAGAAGUCCUACGCGGUGAAGCCUGAUGCCAACGGGCAGAAAACAUCAUAUUGCACCCCACUGAUUCCAUUUGCGCCUCAAUUCUGUUUCCUGAUCCGCCACAGUUGCACGGGACGAGUAUCACUGAAUGACUGAAAGAUGAGGUAAAACUAAGGGGGCCGGGUGCCAAUCGCAAUGGCGCGGGCGCAAUGAGCCGAGGACAAGCCAGUCGCUGCACACGAGCUCCUGCAGUGCCAAUCGUGGCGCCGAGAGGAGAGAGCAGCGACAUAGGUCCAGGCAUGAUGGGCACACCGGUAAGCGCAGAACCUGACGAUCAUGCUGUCGUGGUGCCGGCUGUGUCUACGAGAUAGCCUCCUGGUUUCUCGGUGUAAGAUUGUUGCCGUUCCGGUGCUAUGAGACAGUUAAUUAUUACUCCCUUUGUUGGGAAAUAAGUCUUAGGGAGACUAAGACACGACGACGUUGGGAAGCACUCGUGGUUCAACUCGGAAAAAUUGAGCCUCUGUUUACAUCGGGGUAGGGCUCCCCUUUUAGAGUGUCCCGAAGGACAUUUUAUAUUCCAUAGUUACCCUUAUUCAACCACUACAAUCCUAGAAUAUGCUAUACACGAAGAUCUUUUGGAGAUUACUUGUAGACUUGGUCUCCUCCGACGAGUCACGCUUCUAGCGCCUCCAAUCAGCCCCGUGAAUCAUGCUCUCAGACGAUUCCGCGAAUCACAUCUUCACGUUUCCAAUGCCUUCACUCUUUUAACCUCGGACCCGAAGCCAUUUUAACCUCGAGCUUUGAGAUCGUCCUAACUUCACACCGGAGAGGCGCCAGCCGUGCGUCCUGAUCCUUGUUUCAUAACCCUGCACGAGACAGCAGACAACUCGGCGCUCGGGGUUAGCUUUGAGCGUUCGAGGGCCAACUUAGUUAUUGUCUGGUAAUCGGUGAUUGUCUCUUGGCUUCAAGGCAGAGCUCUUAGCAGCGUGGCGAGGUUGGAACUACUCUUUCACGUCAAAUUUGUCCUUCAAGGUUAGGGACCCUCGCCCAAGGUUAGGGACCCUCCCCCGAAGCUACUUAUUUUGCGGGGCUAUGUUAAACAUGCAAAACAAAACGACCACCAAGGUGACUAUCUUUUUGGGCGAUCCCCAAUAGUAGCCCCUCGUGGCCGAGGCUCGACACCAACGACCGAACCUGCGACUUAAGGAUCUUCUCCCAAAAAACAUCACCCUCGAGCGUUGGCUAGAAACGAGCCAACGGUUACCUUUUUAGUCUUACGUGUCGAUUUCCUAUUGGAUGACUUUUCGUAUUCGGCUCAAGGUUUCAGGCGCCGUUUCGCGCCUUUUAUCGCGCUUAUAAAAGGGGUGGCGCGGGUCGCUUUUGUUUUUACCCUCACGGCUCAGACCUUUGCGCUCCUAGUUUGCUCGCUGCUUUCAUGCUUUGAGAUUCAUGCGUUGUAUGCUGUUGUCCUUGGCCUCGAAGAUCUCGAAGGUAACGAUGUUAUUUGCAUCUCUCUUUUGGUGUGAGUUUUUGCCUUGUUUUUAUUUCUGAGAUGGUGCUUUGCUGCCUUACAACUGGCUCAUAUUAUUCAAACUGCAAGACUCAUGACAGCAGAGGAGUUUGCUUAACAAUCUGGGUUUCGCAAUGAGGCUGAGGAAGACCUGGAUCUGGGCAAGGCUGUUGAGGACGCCGCGAAGUUAACCUACGGUGACGAGGGUACCGCAGGUGGCAGUGAUUCCGAGGCUGGUGCUGAUAGUGAGGAGGAUCUUUCUAGCGUCAAGGUCGACCUGUCAGAGCUGAUGCCAUGCAAGGAAGUAUAUGUUCUCACUAUGUGGUUUGGGAAGUCCUUAGUUUCCCCGAGGGUGUUGCUAGGGCACCUGGUGAUGAAAUCGUGCAGGCAAACCAGACACAACACACUCCCCCCAAUAUAUACCUACCUGUCAUGUGGAUCCAUGUGUCGGGACCACAUGUUAGUGGAUCCCCCCCAUUUAUUUCACUGUCUCUUCCUAGCUAUAGCACGAGUGGUCGGGGUACCAUUGGCUUGGGCAGAGAAGUGGAGCUUGAUCCAUGCCCCUGAGAUCUCCCCGGGGGGGUGGGGAGGAGGAGGAUCGGGGGAGGGAUCUCAUGGCCGUCAAGGCUCCUUUGGUUGUGCAAGCGCCCAAGCUCCUUCAAGCGACAAUGGCUGAGCCACUCACCCGGUGGUAGUAGCGGGCUUCCUCGAGCCUAAGGACACAUGACAGUGAGUAGGUUCCUUAAGCCCACAGUCGUGCAACAAUGAAAUGGCACUCGCCCUCCCCCGUGAACCCAGGAAGAGGAUCAGGGGAGGGAUCUCAUGGUCGUCAAGGCUCCUUUGGUUGCGCAAGCACCCAAGCUCCUUCAAGCAACGACGGCUGAGCCACUCAUCCGGUGGUAGCAGCGGGCUUCCUCGAGCCUAAGGACAAAUGACAGUGAGUGGGCUCCUAAAGCCCACAGUUGUGCAACAAUGAAAUGGCACUCGCCCUCCCCCAUGAGCCAUGUAGGUGCCCGACCUUCUAGGGCUGGGGAACAUAAUAAGAACAGGGUGUUUGCAAUGUAGGGUGAUUACGAUGAGCAACAGUCACACAACAUUAGCUUGCGCGCACUACGAGCAAACGGAAAAAUUAUUGUAUUAAGGGAGCUCCAACUUCCCCACUAGUUGUUGAUCAUCAAUAAUUUUUGGGGAUAAGAUUUGUUAGAAUGGUGAAAUCCCUAGUAGUGAUAACGUUUUUUAUUAGUUUGGGAUAUAAAGUUAUGGAGGAACUGAUGGAGUUGCUAUAAUAAGGUAAAAACAGACCGAUCACUGUAACAAGCCAUAUGAAAGCUGGCUUUUGGCUUUUGCUCCCUGGAAGGGUGGCUUUCUGAAAGCUGGCUUUUGGAAUGGUGGGAUGGAGUGUCUGUUCUGUGAGGUCCACGUGUCAAGCUUUUCUUCAACCUUGGAGCUCCCCUGCAGUGGCUUCCUGAGCUCACCGGAUCUGGGCUCCUCGACGGCAAGCGGAGUCGAGGCCGGAGGAGAUGUCGGAGGGGACGGUGAGCGGCGCCGUGAGGGCAGCUGCUGUGGCGGUAGCGGAAGCUGGGAGGAGAGGCCGAGGAUUUUGUGGGCUUCUUUCGAAAAGCUCAACCCAGAAGCUAGCUGUUUGUUUGAGCUUUUAACUUCUUAUAUGGUGGAAAGCUGCUAGAAAGCCUAAACAAACAUGACCUUAUAUACUCCCUAGCUACCCAGAGCUUCUAAGAACCCAUCAAAGGAAAAUAUGACCUUCAACGGAAAUCAAGAAUUUAGCCUAUGAACAUGCGAUGCGUCGCAGCGGAUACAGUUGUUCAUCGGAUCGAGAUUAACAAAGCACCGUCGUCGGCCACGUCGAUCGCAUUUUAUCGAUACUUGGAAGAGGCCCUUGGUGGAGGCAGCUAGAAACGUGGAUCGGCAAGUCUGCGCGCGCCGGCGCUGCCCACGCCGGCGAAGGAGUUGCUCCGCGUGACGGGCACCGACCGCGGCUGCCUGGGCCGGUAGCUCCUCCACGGCACCGUCCCGUCGCCGCCGCCGCCGUCGACGUCGCCCUCGUCGCCGGCGCUCGGGACGCGGCACCUCUCCCCGAGGAUGAUCGUCUUGGUCCACAGCGUGCCCUCCUCCCCGACCUCGCCGCCGCCGCCGCGGCGGCACCCCACGAAGACGUCGUCCUCCGCGGCGGCUGUGGCGGCCGCCUCCCCCGACGACACGGCGCGCCGCAUCGACCGUAUCCUCCCGAGCCGCUCCGUGAAGCGGAUGUGCUUCGACGACAGGCUCCGGCGCGGCGGGAGCGGCUCCGCCGGCGGCGGCAGGAACGCCGGCGCGAUGGGCCCGUGCGUCCCGACGUCGAUCACCGUGACCGGCCCCCCGCCGCCGUCAGUCUCGACGGCGGCUCCGCUGGCCUUGGCCGUGUCGCUCGGCGUCGGGGAGACCUUGGCCGCCGGCGUGGCACCGCUGGCCGCGCCGCCGCCACCGCCGCCGCCGCCGCUCUCCCUGGACCCGCAGCGGUUGGACGCCGAGCGCGAGCCGCGCCGGCGCGACGACGACGACGAAGGCUUGCGCGCGUGGAUGGUGCAGAGAGCGACGCAGACGGCGACGGCGGCCGCGACCCACGCGGCGUGGAGGAGCGCGGGGGAGGAGGAGGUGGCGGCCGUGAUCUGCUUCGACGACGCCGAGGUAGUAGGGUACGCUCUUGCCAUUGGGAGGUGGUGCCAAUCAAGGUGGAAGAUGAUCAGGCGCGGAGCGGUCUCUCUGGCUACCCUGCUACCGGUUAGUUUGCUGAUAAUCUGCAGUGCUGGUGUCUGAUCGGCCGCGCGAAGAUGGAGCAGUUACUACUGCGACAGAUGCGACGCAUGUUUUUGUGCGGACGUGCAUGGAGACGUAGGAGUGAUGGGGGCAGUUGAUCCGGGAAAGGUGGCGCGAGUGGGCUGGCCAGUUCAGCUCCAUCAGCCGGUAAAACGGAAGAGACGCGAUGGGAGCUGAAGCGUGCAGGCGCCGCGUGCAAGGGGACGGUUGACCAGUCAACCCGCUACCAGCUAUCGUGUCCACCCCCAAAAGGCCAAAACGGAUGGAAGGCAGUUCCAGGCUCCCCUCGCGUGCCGUGCUACCGCUGUGCGUCGUGGCUUCUAUUCUUUUGUUGUGUGAGAUGCUACUUGCCUCAUGGGCUAUGGCGCAUGAUUUUCUUUUACCAUUGUCAUUUCUUUUGCGUAUGUAUGUGCACAUUAUCUGUCAAUCCAUUUCCGGCUCAAUUCUACUCUCACUCUCCAUCACUUCUGAGUUCUGACUGUGGUUGUCCUUGAUAGAAAGUUAGGAUGAUUAUUGUGGCCAUGAACCAAACAAAUGUUUAACUCAGUCAAACAUUCAAACUUGCGUGACCUUAGACAUGAUAAAGUGUUAUAGUAUGUCGCCAUAAACCAAUGAGUCCCGUAGAAAUUAACUAGAUCGGGUGAUUGGGUCUCAUGUAUAGUCAUAACGUGAGAAGGGACAAAGGGAGACAGACAGCGGCUGGAUUAACACCAUCGACAUCCAACGAAACCAAGGGCAAAAAAAAAAAAAGAGACGAGGAGGGAAUUGGCAGCCCAUUUCAGCGAGAAGUGAGAUGGUGAAGUGGUGAUGGGCUUGGAAAUUGGCAGCCCAUCGCACAAUUGCUUCCACUUGCUUUUGUGAUGGUGGUGGAUCAUGGAUCUUUUACGUUCUUGUGUUAUUAUUAUUGCGCAGCCGAUUUUUCAUUUUGGGCCUGUUUGGAGCACUCCACUCCAGAAAAAUCAGCUCCACUCCACUAGCUCCACACUUUUCUAGCUCCACUCCACCAACUCUAAAAAAAUAUGGAGCUGCUGCACGUGUUUGGCUGAUGGCAGUGCUCCAGCUCCAAAAAUAUGAGCAUUUGUUGUGAAUGGUCUAUUUUACCCUUUGUGAACGGACCCACAUGUCAUACUCUUCUAUUUUAUCCUCUCUUCUUCCUCUCUCUCCUCUCCUCUUCUCUUCUCAGUUUCCAGAGGGAUCUCGAACACAUUCAUCGCGGCAGCAGGGAUCUCCAGCUUCCAGAGGGAGCCGUCCAUGGCCUGCGCCUGCUCGAUGAACACGGAUGGCCGCCGCGGGGGAGGUCGCCCUGGCCGCGCCGCCGUGGGGGAGCUCGGCGGGCGGGCGCGCGGCGGGCAUGCGGCCGGCGGCGGGCGGGCGGCGGGCGGGGGCGGCGAGAUCGGGCAGGGGCGCCUGGGGCUGGGGCAACGCGCGGCUCGCCGGUGUUCAGGCAAGGGGCUGGCGCGGGCGGGGCUCCAACGGGCGAGCACGGCGUCGCCAGCGGGCGGGCGGCCGGCGGCGAGCCACGGCCGGGCACGGCCACAGCCAGGGGAAAGAGAAGGUUCGAGUGACAGGAGCAGGAGUCACGGGAUGUUUUCUUUUCUGAUUGCGAACCGGUACGUGUGUAACCGAUGGCAGUGGUGGGUAAAUACCCACCAACUCCACGAGGAGGUUUGAAAAGGGAGUUUUUGGAGCACCCCCUGAGGUACUCCACAAAAAACGUGGAUCUGACCCCCUGCUCCACCUUUUUCCUGGAGCCGGAGUCGCUGGAGCUAGACGCGUUUGGCUGCGAAAUUUUCGGAGUUGGUGGAGUGGAGCAAUUUUUCAUGGAGUGGAGUGCUUCCAAACACCCGCUUUGUUUGCCAAAAAAAUUGGGCGCGUACGGAUACGGUUACAGGGUACGUUGGUCAAUUGAACCAUUUCCCCAUUCCAGAUCAGAAAUUAACUAGCUAGCCAAACUUGGAAGAAACGUGAACUGAAUCAUAAAAGUUUUUUUUUUUUGAGAAUUCAGAACCCUACCAAACAAAUCGUCAAGUUUCAAGUCUGCAAUCGGACGAAAUAACGAAUGCACCAAAGCAAAACGUGGAGAGUUGAAAAAACGACUUCCUACCAUCCCAAUUCACAGGUACUAUGAACGAACCGAGAUGGUCCACCGGUUGCUUCAAGACUCAAAGUCUGCGAGUUUGAACGACACGCGUUAAGUUCUUAUUCGCAGAAUAUGGUUGAAUUAAAAGGUCAUUUUCCCUGGGACGUCAUGUCAGAGUCAGAGGAAAGCUUGUUUUGAUUCCAAACAAUCCCAAAUUCCCAAUGACAAGAAACCAACAGUGAAGAGUAGACCUUCGGAAUGUUUGAUUCCCACACCUAAACUACUUUAGCACCUGUCACAUCGAAUAUUUAGAUACUAAUUAGAAGUAUUAAACGUAGACUAUUUACAAAACCCAUUGCACAUCGAAUGUUUAGAUACUAAUUAGAAGUAUUAAACGUAGGCUAUUUACAAAACCCAUCGUAGACUAUUUACAAAACCCAUUGCACAGAUGGAGGCUAAACAUGGAUUCGAAUCGAAUUUCGCAACUUGGCACGGGGGACCUAAACACACGACAUGUGCGUACCACGACGGGUCUACCAUUUAUCAACGGGUCCCAGUGAUCCCAAGAUGCGUGUCCGGGCCUACUUUCCCUUGGNNNNNNNNNNNNNNNNNNNNNNNNNNNNNNNNNNNNNNNNNNNNNNNNNNNNNNNNNNNNNNNNNNNNNNNNNNNNNNNNNNNNNNNNNNNNNNNNNNNNUAAGUUCAUGAUUUGACAAUGUACUGCUACCAGUACUUAUUUCCUAAUGAUGGAUUUAUUUAGGUUUAAUAGAUUCGUCUCGCCGUUUAGCCUCCAUAUGUAUAAUUAGUUUUAUAAUUAACUUAUAUUUAGUCCUCCUAAUUAGACCGAAGAUUCGAUAUGACAUGAACUAAACUUUAGCUCAAGGAACUAAACACCCCCGAAGAGCCACCUCCAUACAUGUGUAGUCUUGGCAAAUAACUUUGCUGUCGUAGUAGUUGGGAAUUGCGAAUUUGGAUAAACUUGAAUUCAAAAUCUUUUUACACACGUGCUAAAUCAAAUCGUAGGAAGUAGUAGCUGCAAGCCUGCAAGUGUAUGGACGAACGACCCAGGCACGCUGCAUCUUCGUCGGGCUGCUGACCAGUCGGAUCUCGCUGUCCGCAUACCUAUCCCUGGUAGGUGAGCUGAAGCUUUCAUCAUAUAUCUUGAACAAAUUUAAAUCAGAAAAAUACUGCAUCAGCGAUAUUCGCUAUGUUCGUGGAAACUCGAGCAUGUCACAUCCAAAUCGUUUCUACCGCCAGCUCGUGCAAGUGAGUGCGUGAGCAUGUCCGUUUUGUUUUUUUAGUUGACAAUGUGCCCCCCCUGGUGUUGCAGCUCUACCACUUGCUUCCGAGUAGGGUGCGAAGCGGCAAGCGAGGAGAAAUGUCGAAAAAGAUGGGAAUCGAUCGCUCAUGCAUGAAUGAAAAUGAAAUCGUUCGACCAUUGCGUUAUAUUUGGACCCUUACCCUUUGCUGUUAUUUUCUCUCUUUUUUUGAAACGGUUUAAAAUAUUCUUUUUGAAACUUUGCUAUUAUUUUCAUGGGUUUUAACCUUCCAGCUGUUUUAUAUCACACCAUUUUUUCUUCCAAAAAGUUGAAUAACGAUACACAUCUAUCUCAGUAGUAAAUCUACGAUCCUCACACCGGUUUGCUCAGCCCUUACCAGCUUUGUGUCAUAAAAAUGGCAUACGGAUCCAACUAAAACACAGCCUGUUCGCUUCAGCUUAUCAGUCACCGAAUAAUGUUUUUCUCUUACAACAAAUCAGCCGUUUCAGCUUUUCAGCCGGCUUAUAAGUACAGUCGAACAGGGCAACAGUUUGCCACCCAAGUCAAUAUCCUUCCUAGAAAGCAUGGAAUAGGCAUGUGAAUCGUUGCAUUGCUUCUGUCCAUCGUUUUCAGAGUUCUGAUCAAGAGAGUUUUUCCAAAUCAUUACAAGAUUGGACUUCAUUACUAGUUUUGACCUUUCAUUUACUCAAUAUAUUAAGGAUAGAUGAGAUACCAAGAAAAAGAAUAGCAUAAAGCUGAUCUUUUCAGUUUAGGUGGCACGAACUUAAUCCAAACUGCAAAUCGGCACAAAAGGUUCCUCUAUUACGCACGAGAUAUGGCAAACGUCCCUCUCAGCGUGAACAAGUGCACUGAAAGGGAUAUGGUCAAAUUUCAGAGAAAAAAAUAAUUGGUCAAUUUGACUGGAUGUGAAGUUUGACCCUCAACUACCCCCAGUGCUCCGUUCCUAUUUGGCUUCUUGUUUUUUUUUUCAAAGUAAUAUUUGGCUUCUUGAUUAGAGGGACCAUUCAUGGUAUUAUCUCACUGUCCUGGUAUAUUAGUAUCACAAUCUCCGGACUUAUAUGGCAGCCAGCCUCUCCGGGUCCACCGUGCGCCGGCGCUGCUCCCGUGUUCACACGUUCCACUACAAAAUUGUGACUCAUCUUCUGAUUUACUUUGACCUGUAUAUUCGUAAUGGAACCAUUUAUAAUUGGUUUAUCUGCUAAACAAAAAUGAUCACCAAUCCCGACUGCGUUUUAGUCGCAAUCUUGAGAUUAGUUUUCCAAAUUUUAAGUUGUGAGCCCUUUUUUUUCUACAAGUGAAUCGAUUUUCUUGAAGAAUGGACCGGCCUCGAGAUGAUGUUGGUUUUGAUUUGGAUGUAAUUUAAUUUGAUUUCUUCGAGAUGAUGUCGGGUUUGAUUUGGAUGUAAUUUGGUUUGACUCCCGAUACGUGAAAUUCUGUAUGUUUUUUUGAUCUGGGGGUGAGCAAAUUUACUUAACCUUUCAUACGACUUUUCUCGAAACUUUGUCACGCACAUCCUUUUCCACUUGAAGGACAGAAAACGAAUGGUUUACAGAGACAUGAGUGGAGCAAUUAGUGUGACAAUACACCCUUCCACAUGUCACUUUAGCCCAUGAUCGUGGAGAUUAUAUUUUAAACUAGCUACAAAAUAUUCCCAAUCUUUUGUCUUUCAUCAUCAUGUAAAAAGAGGAUAAAAAAGUUCGUCUUCUCCAGCCACUUUUGUUGUUCACCUUUCUGCAACCCUUGCCGUAACCUUUGCAGUCAUCAUCUAAAGAAGAGGAAAAAUGGUGCUGCCUCUUUCCAGUACAUCGUUCUGAAAUCUGAAUCCGACGUCGUUUCCUAAUCCGACUGAGCAAACUUUGCAAAGCUUGAUCAAAUGUUCGAUCCAGAUUCGUGCUAAAUAGCCUAGCACGUAAAGAAGUACAUGUUCGAAUUCGCAUCCGAUGCAAAUACUAUUCGUACACUGGUGCUAUAAGAUAAGAGUGUGAUUUGGAGAAUCAGCAAAUUUUGGAGCAUAUGCGGACCCUUCUUGGCUUCUUCGGGCAAAUAUAAAAUUUGGCUUUGGCGGGGCUAAACCCUGGGGUUACCACCUAAUCCGCCGCGCUACAAAAAACCCUACCUUCCACCCUCUCCAUCCAAUCCAAACACUCCCCCGCUCGCCGCCUCCCCCCUUCCCCCCUCGCGCCGCCAUGGCCACCUCGCUCUCCACCCCGUCCCAGCUCCGCCCUUCCCCCUCCCAGGCCGUGCGCCGCGGCCACCUCCUCGUCCCCUACCCGCGCGUCUCCGUCGCGCGCCGCCCCGUCCCGCGCCGCGCCGGCGCCCUCUCCGUGCGCGCCAGCGCCGAUGGCGGCGACGCCGUCACGGUGCGUCGCUUCCCGGCCGCGCCGACUAAGGCCGGCCGCCUGGAGGGCGUCAAGAAGAUCAUGAUCCUCGGCGCGGGGCCCAUCGUGAUCGGCCAGGCGUGCGAGUUCGACUACUCCGGCACGCAGGCGUGCAAGGCGCUCGCCGAGGAAGGCUACGAGGUGGUGCUCAUCAACUCCAACCCGGCCACCAUCAUGACCGACCCGGACCUCGCCCACCGCACCUACAUCGGGCCCAUGACGCCGCCGCUCGUCGAGCGCAUCAUCGAAGCCGAGCGCCCCGACGCGCUGCUCCCCACCAUGGGCGGCCAGACCGCACUCAACCUCGCCGUCUCGCUCGCCGAGUCUGGCGCGCUCGACCGCCUCGGCGUGCGCCUCAUCGGGGCCUCACUCCCCGCCAUCCGCGCCGCCGAGGACCGACAGCUCUUCAAGCUGGCCAUGGACCGCAUCGGCCUCAAGACGCCGCCCUCUGGCAUCGGCACCACGCUCGAGGAGUGCCUCGCCAUCGCCGUGGAAAUCGGGGAGUUCCCGCUCAUCGUGCGCCCGGCCUUCACGCUCGGCGGCACGGGCGGCGGCAUCGCCUACAACAGGGCCGAGUUCGAGGAAAUCUGCAGGGCGGGCCUCGCCGCGUCACACACGCAGCAGGUGCUAAUCGAGAAGUCGCUUCUUGGGUGGAAGGAGUACGAGCUGGAGGUCAUGCGCGACAUGGCCGACAAUGUCGUCAUCAUCUGCUCCAUCGAGAACAUCGAUCCCAUGGGCGUGCACACGGGAGACUCCAUCACUGUGGCUCCUGCGCAGACGCUCACUGACAAGGAGUACCAGAGGCUCAGGGACUACUCUGUGGCCAUCAUCAGGGAGAUUGGUGUGGAGUGCGGUGGCUCCAAUGUUCAAUUCGCCGUGAAUCCUGCGGACGGGGAGGUGAUGGUCAUCGAGAUGAAUCCCAGGGUGUCCAGGUCAUCGGCGCUUGCCUCAAAGGCCACAGGGUUUCCCAUAGCCAAGAUGGCUGCUAAGCUCUCAGUAGGUUACACUCUGGACCAGAUUCCCAAUGAUAUUACCAAGAAGACUCCUGCCAGCUUCGAGCCUUCCAUUGAUUAUGUGGUCACAAAGGUAUGAUUCUGUCUCCAUUUCUCAGGUUUCUUAGUGUUGCACAAAUGAGUUUUGCUGGAAAUAUGCAUCUGCAGUACAAAUUUGACUUUUCUGUAUCUUCUUUGCUUGCUCACUCCUUGUCAGUUGUCACCUAUCAACUUGUAAUGAUUAAUACCUCAAUAAUAAUAUCAAACUAAUUGAACUGGAUAAGUCCGUCCGAUUGCUUAUCCUGUUCUUCAUGCAUUGUUUGACUGUUGAAUAUGUUGGUAGACUGAAUGAAUUGUCACAUAUGCUCUGGCAUCUACCUACUACUUAAUAGUAAAACAGAGUCAUUUAUAUCAUUUUAAAGGUGAAGGCAGUAGCUUUUUGCAGGCAUAUACUUGUCCAGUUAUCAUUUUAUUUUAUUUUUCAUGCUUGCUGAGUAGUGCUCCAUCACUCUCUUAGUCAAGCAACAUUAAUAUUGUCUUGUUCGCAUAUCUGUCAUUGCCAUCUUAGUCUAGCAACAGUAAUAUUUUCUUGUUGACAUAUUUGUCAAAUAAGGAUGAAAUCAUCACAUCAAUAGUUUUUCUACGAUAUGUGCAUAUCUUGGAGAUUUGUAUGUUGACUGAACCUUCCCCUGAUGAAUCUUUACAUUAUAACCUGAGAUCAGUUACAUUGUCUUAACCUGUGAAUUUCUCUCUGUCUCAUGGCUAUAUUGUCUGAUAUCAUUCUUUCACUAUCCGAAGCAUAUUACUCUGCUAUUCGACAUGCAUAAAAAUAUUUACCUUUUCAGGAUAUGCUCUAGGAUAAACUUAUUUUAUUGUUUUGUUACAAGCCCAUAUUUAUACCUGAUAUGUUUAUCACACAAUAUUUUUCAUGAUCUACUUUUCUGACUCACCUUGAAUUUACUAUGCAGAUACCACGCUUUGCAUUUGAGAAAUUUCCUGGUUCAGAGCCAAUACUAACCACACAGAUGAAGUCUGUUGGUGAGGCAAUGGCACUGGGGCGCACGUUCCAGGAGUCUUUCCAGAAAGCUGUACGUUCACUAGAGACUGGCUUUGCAGGAUGGGGUUGUGGACCUAUCAAGGAACUUGACUGGGAUUGGGAGAAAAUAAAAUAUAGCUUGCGGGUACCUAAUCCGGAUCGUAUCCAUGCUAUUUAUGCAGCUUUCAAGAAAGGUAUGGGGGUUGAAGAUAUUCACGAAAUUAGCUUCAUUGACAAAUGGUUCCUCACCGAGCUCAAGGAGCUUGUGGAUGUUGAGCAGUACCUUUUAUCAAGGAGCUUAGAUCAAUUGUCAAAGGAUGACUUAUAUCAGGUGAAGAGGAGGGGUUUUAGUGACAAGCAGAUUGCAUUUGCGACUUCUUCAUCAGAAAGUGAUGUGAGAUCAAGGCGUUUAGCAUUAGGCGUCACUCCAACAUAUAAGCGUGUUGAUACUUGUGCUGCUGAGUUUGAAGCAAACACCCCUUACAUGUACUCUUCUUAUGAAUAUGAAUGUGAAUCAGCUCCAACCAAUAGGAAGAAGGUGCUGAUAUUGGGUGGUGGGCCUAAUCGCAUAGGCCAGGGCAUUGAGUUUGAUUACUGCUGCUGUCAUGCUUCAUUUGCACUCCGAGAGGUUUGUUUCUGCAUAAUUGAUUUCCAUCUUUCACUAAUAUUUUUCCUCAUUUGUGCUGUUUAUAUCUGUAUAAAUGGAUUCUUGUAGUGAGCAAAGCCAAAUUGCAAGUUUUCUUAGUCAACUACAUUAUAUUGUAUGGCCCUCUGUUUUUCUAUUUUAGUGUCGAUGAUACUAAUGUCUUGUUCCUUUUUCAACUCUUUUCAGGCUGGAUUCGAGACUAUUAUGAUGAACUCCAAUCCUGAGACGGUCUCAACCGACUAUGAUACCAGUGAUCGUUUGUACUUUGAGCCAUUGACAGUUGGAGGAUGUAUCAAAUGUUCUUGAUUUGGAGCGCCCGGAUGGUAUAAUUGUGCAAUUUGGAGGGCAAACUCCUUUUAAAGAUUGCACUUCCUAUACAACAGUAUAUAAAGGAGAACAAAAAUGAUUUCUAGCGUCACGCACUGGGGAAUGUGAAAGAUAUGGGGAAUCAUCACCAGAAUUCGAUUGAUGCUGCUGAGGACAGAAAAAGAUUUAAUGCAAUUCUUGAAGAGCUUGGAAUUGAACAGCCGAAGGGAGGGAUUGCAAGAAGUGAAUCUGAUGCCUUGGCAAUUGCCUCAGAAAUAGGUUACCCUGUUGUGGUCCGUCCCUCGUAUGUUCUUGGUGGACGAGCAAUGGAGAUUGUGUACAACGAUGAAAAACUGAUUAAGUACCUUGCAACUGCAGUGCAAGUAGAUCCAGAACGACCUGUUUUGGUGGACAAGUAUCUAAUUGAUGCAGUUGAAAUUGAUGUUGAUGCAUUGGCUGACUCAGCUGGGAAUGUUGUAAUUGGUGGGAUUAUGGAGCACAUUGAGCAGGCUGGUAUUCAUUCUGGUGAUUCAGCGUGUUCCCUGCCAACUAGAACAAUCUCAGCUCAGUGUUUAGAAGUUAUCCGUUCAUGGACCGCAAAUUUAGCAAAGCGUCUGAAUGUCUGUGGAUUGAUGAACUGCCAGUAUGCUAUAUCUACUACUGGUGAGGUGUUCCUGCUUGAGGCGAAUCCGAGGGCUUCACGUACAGUCCCUUUUGUGUCAAAGGCAAUUGGGCAUCCAUUGGCUAAGUAUGCAUCAUUGGUCAUGUCUGGUGUGACUUUGCAUGAACUAGGCUUCACUAAAGAAGUGGUUCCUAAGCACGUAUCUGUUAAGGAAGCUGUUCUUCCAUUUGAGAAAUUCCAAGGUUGUGACAUUCUUCUUGGACCAGAGAUGCGCAGCACUGGAGAGGUGAUGGGCAUUGACUACGAGUUCUCUGGUGCCUUUGCCAAGGCGCAGAUUGCUGCUGGACAGAAGCUCACUUUAAGUGGCACUGUGUUCCUUAGCCUCAAUGACCUGACAAAACGGCACCUUGCUGAGAUUGGACGAGGAUUCCAGGACCUUGGUUUCAACAUUAUUGCCACAUCUGGUACAGCUAAAGUGCUCCAGCUGGAGGGCAUCCCGGUGGAGCCAGUUCUGAAAAUACAUGAGGGGCGACCAAAUGCCAGAGAUAUGCUGAAGAAUGGUCAGAUUCAGGUCAUGGUUAUAACAAGCUCUGGUGACGCACUAGACUCAAAAGAUGGCCUCCAACUCCGCAGGCUGGCCCUGGCCUACAAGGUCCCGAUAAUCACAACUGUGGAUGGGGCACGAGCAACCAUGGAUGCCAUCAAGAGCCUGAAGAACAAGUCAAUCGAGACCCUUGCGUUGCAAGAUUACUUCCAAAUUGCUGAUGCAUCACCAGACUUGCAAGCAGCAGCACAAACCGCCCCUUAGAGGGGUCUCCCCUUUUCAUGUAAUGUGAGCCUAGCGUUAACCGAAAACCACAUCUCUUGAUAUUAUUGUGUACUUGUUAGCAUCCAUGCACCUGCUGCAUGCAUUCCCAAAUGUAAGCAUGCAGUAUCAGUCGAAUGUUAGACAAAUGGAAAACUUGAUGGAUUAGGGUGGGCAGCAUCUUGCCCAAUCUUGAGCCCAAGAUUGUUGUUUUCAUCUGUAGCCUUUGUUAUCCUGCUGUUUAUGAUUAUAAAUAAGUAUUUUGGCUCUGCUACUUAUUCAGCCCUUGCUACUGUCCUGAGCCCAAAACGUCUUAGGUCUACCAAUGAUUCUAUUGUCUGUACUACUUCAAACAUGAUUAGCAUAUCCCUGGAUAUUGUUUUAUGAAUGAUUGAAUUCGGUCUGCUGUUAAUUACACUGUACUUUGUUUUGUGAACUAAUUUGCUUGUGCUUGUCAUUAUUGGCAAGAAAGUUCAGAUUAUCUGCUCAUGUCAGACCUCCAUUCUAUUGGAUACGGUGUCCUAUAGAAUGCAGUAGUAUACAUGCUUUUGUUGCUGCCCAGGAUCAAACUGGAGACCUUCAGUGUGUAAGAGUGACGUGAUACCCACUACAAGCAUGUUCUCCACUCUGAAGAAUACCAGCGGCAUGGUGCUGCUGCUGAAUCAAGACAGCCACUGUUCUUCGGUUGCCCUGAAAGCUCAAUCCUGUGGAAGGCAAUCACCGUUCAAAACUGUGGUGCCUUGAAGAGUUGAAGUGGACCAGUUGUGGAUGGCACCCACCCUAGGAGAGCUGUGCCCCAUCGUUUGAUCCUCUCUGUUGCUAACUAAUAUUCUCUGGCGUCAGGAACGAUUUUGUCUUCCACCACGAACGCUUUGGUUCCCGACGCGAUGAUCUGUGAUAUUUGGCUUCACAGGUUUGUAAACUCUGAACAUAAGAAAGCGGUUGCUCAAUGGCGAUUGUUCCUGCUCCGAUAUUACUCUGUAAACCUCGCUCCGAGCGGCUUUAAUUGGUCCUCAUGCUUGAAUGAAAUCCAAGGUUGAUAAACUGAUGAACGAUCAGGUGAAGGCAUUUUCUGAUGAAGCAUCAUUAUCAUUCUGCACCAAGAUAUCUUACGUGACGAAGAUGACCAGAUCAGAUGGAGAUGGACUGCUUCUGAACAAUACACAGCCAAAUCUGCCUAUGAAGCUCAAUUCAGAGGAACAUACAACUCAUUUGAUGGCGCCACAAUCUGGAAGGCUCAUAAUGAAUCUAAGCACAAGUUCUUUGCAUGGCUGCUCAUACAAAGCAAGGUAGAUAAAUUGUUACUCAGCAUUGGCACCAUAUGCCCACUAUGUGAUCAAGAGCUAGAAAUAGCAGUACACUUGUGUCUACGAUGCAGCUACUCCAAGGAAGUCUGGUUCCUAGUGAGCAAUUGGACGGGAGUGAGAUCCCCAUUCCAGAAAAUGAAGAACAAGACAUUGAAGCAUGGUGAACAAGAACAUUGCAAGGCAAAUGCAAAGAAGAGAAGAUCUAAGGCGGCCUUCUUGACACUAACAGCAUAGAACAUCUGGAAUGAGAGAAACAGAAGAAUCUUCAAGGAUAGAAACUUCGAGCAAUGCAAGUCUUUCGCAGAAUUCUGGAAGAAGUUGAGCUGAGACAAAGAGCCCAUGGAUACCCGGAAUUGGGUAGUGUAUCUUAGUUUAUUUCCAUGUUCAAGAGACGAGUUUUUAUUCAUUUCUAUAAUAUUGAACUCUAUGUUGCACUUCUUUCCACUUAAAUGAACGAGCAGUGCUCCUGCUUCUUUUCAAAAAAAAAUAUAUCUUACGUGACACUUACACAGUUAUACUCGCUCCAUGUUCUUAGUUUUUAUGGUAGUGAGCAUCUAGUCUACUGUCUGUCUGUCUUGCAUUGGUCUAAGUAGUCUUCCCUGAACGUAUGCAUCAUGUUUCUUCAGUUCGCAGAACAAAGUCUACUGUGGUCUUAUAUUAGCUGAUUGCGUGAUCCUAGUACGAGCACUGUAAUUACAAGUUACCUUCAGGUUUUGAACUGUUGGACUUUGUGAAUGGCUUUGGAUAUGCAGGUAGGUGUUUGAUGUUGCAAAAGGGAGAUCAAGAAUCGUAUCAUCGCUUUGCUAACCGGGUGCUUAUCAUGGGCAAGGAGGGUUGUGUUGUGCUACCUAAGGGAGGCCAAGGAGUGCUGUGCAUUCAACUAGUACACCAGUGUUGCGUGUCAGACUAUUUGCACUUUGUAUGUAUCAUAUUUUUUUAAUCCUUGUUGUGAAUCACACAUAAGCUAUGUUUGGUUGCAUGCAGCACAUGAUGCAUGUAUGGAUAAUCCUGGAUGGUGUGGUUCAACCAAUUUAUUUGCACUCCUAUCAGUUAAAGCUGAGCAAAAUGCGGGCCGGGCUGGCAAAAAGCUCGGAAUGAUUCGGGCCCACGAACAGCUUUCGGGCCGGAUCGCCCACUCUUUUUCAAUUAGAAAACAAUUCAAAAAAAUAAUUGGGUCGGGCUUAGACUGUCCAGAUUUUUUUCGGGCCGGAAAAUAAACACCAUGCUUGGCCCUAAAGGUCACAGGCUGGGCCAUCAGGCCAAGCCAAAUUGCUCACCUCUACUAUUAAUAAAAUAAUGUAUUAAGUGGAUUGGUUGGUAUAAUUCACCUAACCAAAUAGAAAAACCAUUAUUAUUUCGAACCAUUUCAUACAUGAAUUAAAUUAUACAAUCAACCAAACACAUACUUCUUGGUGUUAAUCAUAAUUGUUAUACUUUGAUCCGACUAAGUAGUUUCUUAUAUGGUGUACAUAUGGAUGUGGAAGGAACAGUGAGUUAGACUCGUGCUGCCCGUGUGUGGACAGAGCCGGACCUGACGUGUCGUGAAGGGACUCGGCCUGUUUCAUCAUGAAUAAAACCUUGAUCAUGAGGGAUUGGAUACAGUUUUUGAUUGUCACAAAAAAAAAAGAAAUGGCACAGAGUCUUAGGCACGUGUUUCUGAGGAAUGACCUGACGGAACCGCGUGUGCAACAGGCAAUCUCGCUGCCGUAGACACGUUGAGAUGACGUGACAGAUAAUUCCGGAAACACAGCAUGGACUUGGACCUUUUCUCGUAGCCUUGUCCCUGCGACGGGAGGAGGCGCUCGUGCCGAGCAGACGCGCAUCCACAUUGACCCUGUGGUCAAACGUGAUUUGGAAACCUUCACAAAAGAAAUGACUCGAAUUCACUAAAACUUUAUGUAAUGAGACUUGGAAUAUGGAGUCACCGUGACAAAUCUGGGGAACAGCACCCUGCAGUAUUGUUAGGAAACAGCAGAGCCCAUUUGUGCCACUGUAAUCAGGAGCCAAAGGUUUUUCAGAAUCCAACCCAAGGUUUCAAUCAUCCACUACUUAAGAAAAUCCAUUAAGCUAGGUCCCCUGUCAUUGUAAUCAGAGGGAGUCUUCACAAGUCCAACACGGCAUUGCGUAAAAAACAAGCCGAAGACGCAAGGAGACACUGGGACUGGGACCAAAAAGGGACCUACCAGUUUUGAGAAAUGUCAUGCUCCAAAGAUGAAAAGCAAGUAGAACAAGUUCACACACACAGCAGCAGAGACUUGUAGACUUGUGAUACAGUAGUAUAUGCACUCAGGCUUACUGGCUUAACCACUUGAGCUCUGGUUCAGAAGAUGGACUUGUUGGCCUCUCCAAGUCAGAACCCAAGUUGCGCUCGAAAACAACGCAGAAUUCCAGCUGCAAGACGCGAAACGUUAGCCCAAGAUAAGGGAAGAAUUGAGGGUCAGAAACACGCGCCCGGGCGCCUGUUUCGUCGCAUGACCCUUUUCCUGCGGAUUUCCGGUUCCAUUAUUCUACUACCAGGAUUGUGACCCCAGAUUUCGAUCGCCUUUAACUUUACCUUUUCGGCAAGAUUUGAUUUUGUUUUAGCUUUUUAGGAGAGCUGCUGUUUUCAUCUCAUGGAAAUUUGCAAAUCCCAUUGCACCGAAGCUGGUGCAGGGGAAACCAAAAAAGGAUUUGCUCUGCAAAGAACAAUUUUCACCUUAGCUAUUUGGACACUGCAAUGAAGCAUCACGGCUUCUGCAUCUAAACACGCACACACUACCAAUGAGACUCAUGACUUACUGUCACUGAACAUUAACAUUUUUUUAAGGAAGAAGGAUGUUCUCUUAAUCAAAAAGUAUCUGCAGUGUUACAUUCCUCUUAGAACUGCAGGUUCAUGUUAUACAGGCCUUGCAGCUUGUGGUUUACACUUAUACAACGUGCAGAGUAUGCACCUCAGGUCAAAGAAGAAGAAGAUGAACAAACAUACGAAAGAAUGCAUUGUACAAGAUCAAAAAACAUCUUACGACAAACAACCAACAAAAUUN